rnacentral:lncRNA from 1 species
AAAAAAAAAAAAAAAAGUGGGGGUUAAAUUUCAAAAUUUGGAUUUUGAGGGCAUUUUAAUCAAAUAACCCUAAAAAAUUAAAGAUAUGUUGCCGGGGAUUAAGGAGACUUCGUUUGGUCCUAGCCCCUUGUAAAAUUAAAGAUAUUUUUGUAUGAUGUCUUGUCCAUCAUAAAAAAAUUACUCAGAGAUGGUGUCGUUUGGUAAAGAGACCGAGCUCGUGGAUGGAAGCUCUGGCCCACAUCCGAAGAUUUGAUAACGACGUAUAAAGUAUAAACUACCCUAGGCCUCCGCUUAUAACUUCAUUUGUGCGUUCCUUCCCAGAAUUUGAUUCAAGAUUAGCCCUACAGCCUUUUCAGCUGAUCCAAUUUCAUAGAUUACAUGGAUGCGCCAGUUCUUUUGCUUCUUCUCGCUCUGCUUCUAUCUUCUCCACUUCCAUCGUCUACCCUCGACAGUUUGAGUCAAGGCUCAUCCCUAUCAGUUGGGAAGCCUGAACAAGUUUUAAUUUCACAAAGUGGAAUCUUUUCAGCCGGCUUCUACCCCGUCGGUGACAAUGCUUAUUGUCUUGCCAUAUGGUUCACCAAACCAUCCUACGACGGCAAACAUACGGUUGUUUGGAUGGCAAACCGAAACCAACCAGUUAAUGGGAAUUUCUCAAAGCUUUCCCUGCUAAAAAAUGGUGAACUUAUCUUAACAGAUGCCGGGCGGUUCAUAGUUUGGACCACAAAGGCGGUUGGGGUUUCUCCGGUGCGAUUACAUCUCUUCAACACUGGUAACCUUGUGUUGCGUACCUCGGAUGGUGUUAUUCAAUGGCAAAGUUUCGAUUCACCAACAGAUACCCUUCUCCCUCACCAGCCACUCACCAGAAAUACGAGACUUGUCUCUUCAAGAACCAAAACCAACUUUUUCUCAGGGUUUUAUAAGCUCUAUUUUGACAACAGUAACGUCCUCAGUCUUGUGUUCGAUGGGCCAAACGUUUCAAGCGUUUACUGGCCCCCAUCGUGGCUUGUAAGCUGGCAGGCGGGCAGAUCGGCAUACAAUAGCAGCAGAAUUGCAUUACUAGAUUACUUUGGCUAUUUUUCUUCAUCCGACGGUUUUAAGCUUCAGUCCUCGGAUUUUGGUGAGAGAGUCCGGCGAAGAUUGACCCUGGAUAUUGAUGGCAACUUACGAUUAUACAGUUUUGAGGAAGAGAGAAAUAAGUGGGUUGUUACUGGGGAAGCCAUCACGGAACAAUGCAAAGUUCAUGGAAUAUGCGGACCCAACAGUGUUUGUACCUAUGUGCCCGGUUCUGGGAGUGGAAGGAGAUGCUCUUGCAUACCUGGAUAUGAGGUGAAAAAUCGCACUGACCGAACUUAUGGAUGCAUACAAAAAUUCAAUCUUUCUUGCAACUCACAGAAGGUUGGUUUCCUCCUACUCCCACACGUGGAGUUCUACGGCUAUGAUUAUGACUGUUACCCCAAUUACACCUUACAGAUGUGUAAAAAACUGUGCUUGGAAAAAUGCGGUUGCAUAGGAUUUCAAUACAAGUACGAUCAUAUAUGUUAUCCUAAGCGGAUGUUACUCAACGGAUACCGCUCACCUAGUUUUGAAGGACAUAUAUAUCUAAAAUUGCCCAAAGCUAGUCUCCUUUCCUAUGACAAACCCGUUGAGGAAUUCAUGUUAGAUUGCUCGGAAAACCGCACAGAGCAGCUAGUAAGAACCUAUUCAAAAGCCCAUGAAAAUGGAGUGUUAAAGUCCAUCCUCUGGUUUGUCUGUGCAAUUGGAGGAGUUGAGAUGAUUUGCAUCUGUGUGGUGUGUUGUUUCUUGAUGAUGAAGGCCCAGCAAAACACCAAUACAGAUCCGCCAGGCUACAUUUUAGCCGCCACGGGAUUCAGAAAAUUCACCUAUACUGAGCUGAAGAAAGCAACACGGGGUUUCAGUGAGGAGAUUGGAAGAGGAGGAGGUGGGAUUGUAUAUAAAGGUGUCUUGUCAGACCACCGAGUAGCAGCCAUCAAGCAGCUCAAUGGAGCUAACCAAGGAGAAGCUGAAUUUUUGGCAGAAGCAAGCACCAUUGGGAGGCUUAACCACAUGAACUUGAUAGAGAUGUGGGGUUAUUGCUUUGAGGGGAAGCACAGGCUCUUGGUUUAUGAAUACAUGGAGCAUGGAUCACUAGCACAAAACCUCACUUCCAAUACACUUGAUUGGCAGAAGAGGUUCAAUAUUGCGGUGGGCACAGCAAAAGGUCUGGCUUAUUUACACGAAGAGUGCUUGGAGUGGGUUCUACACUGCGAUGUGAAGCCUCAAAACAUACUCCUAGACUCUAAUUAUCAGCCAAAGGUGGCAGACUUCGGCCUGUCAAAGUUACAGAACAGAGGAGGAAUCAACAAUUCAAGAUUGUCGAGGAUCAGAGGAACGAGAGGUUACAUGGCUCCAGAGUGGGUUUUGAACCUCCCCAUCACGUCCAAAGUAGACGUUUAUAGCUAUGGUAUUGUGGUUCUGGAGAUGAUUACCGGUCUAAGAAGUGUUGCAAAUGCCAUCCACGGUACAGAUGGCAUAGGGGAACGUCAGAGUUUGGUGGCAUGGGUGAAAGGGAAGAUGAAUAGUGCAACUGCAGUUGCUUCGUGGAUUGAAGAAAUCCUAGACCCGUCGAUGGAAAGCAAAUAUGACAUGGGUGAGAUGGAAAUUCUAGUAUCAGUGGCUCUGCAAUGUGUGGAAUUGGAUAAAGAUGAAAGACCCACCAUGAGUCAGGUGGUCGAGCUGCUUCUCCGCCGUGGAUGUUGAUACAAUUAUCACUACUGAUAAAUUAAUACCUCCUAUGGGGCCAGCCAAGUAUGGCAGCUUUCUGAACCUAUUCCGCCCAUUUAUGAUAUUCGUAAAAAAAACAUUGUUAUUUUUGCUACCCUCCUCAAUAAAGAUUCUACUAAUAAAUAUUAUAUAGAAUUUUAUUCCCAAUAUCUCUCUUUGGUGCUCUUAUCUUAUUUUAUAAAAUCAUUUUUAAAAUUUGUUGAAUUUGAUAUAUUUUACCCUCACAUAAUUUGUAGCAGGAAAAGUUUCUCUCUUCAUCAUACAACAAAUUCUUUUCUAUGUAGUAUACAUAUAUGAAAGCUAUAAAUGGCUUUAGCUUUAAUUGAAAUCAUAUAAUUUCUCAUUGAAUCUAAUCUAACGUGACUUUAAAAAUUUUCAAAAUAUAAAUCAAUUCCUCCUGCUUAAACAUAACACUAUAAUUGCAUCUGUGCCUUGGUGCUUUCUGUGUUAGUGAAUGAAUUAGUUUAAAUAUUGACUUUUUAGACAACAAUUUUAAAGAGCUCAUGCGUCACACUAUCAAUUCAACCUUCUUUGAUAUUUAUUUAUUUAUUUAUUUUAAUUACCUUUCGAUGGUAUCAUUGCUUGGAAAAUUUUGAUGAACGUGAAAGGGAAAUGGAAAAUCGUGGGGCACACGUCCAUUAUGGAGUCAAAAUCUUUGAAAGAUGUAAAAUUGUCGUGCAAUUCAAUCUAAUGUAGAUGGACAAAAAUGCCAUUUUAUUGAUCAAGCAUAGAUGAAUGUGGAAAUGACGCAACGCAUCAAAUCAGACUUGGCGGAUGACAUGUAAAAUGCAAAAUUAAAUAAUGAUUGAAAAUCAAAUGAAUGAGCCACCCAGCAAAUGUCUAGUUUCAAGUCUUUCAUUUUUUUUUUCAACUUAAGACCUCUUUUUGGAAAUUUAUUAUUAAAAAUAUUUUAAUCUCUAAUUUUUCAUAAGUUUCUUUUCAUAAACAUGUUGACUGGCUUCAGGGAAAUAAACAAAAAUAUAUUUUUAAAUUAUUUAAUCUAACUUUAAAAAGAUAAGUAAAAUUUUAUUAAAAUAAUUUAUUAAUUUUAAAUUUAUAUUUUAUUUUCAUUCAUUUGACAUACCUUCAAUAAUUAGUAUAAAAUUAAUAUAAAUGUUUUAUAUAAUCCGUUUACAUGCAUGGUAUAUUAUGUACAAACAGGAACAAAAUGAAUGAGGCACUGUAUGUGACAAAUAAAUACAUUUUUAUAAAAUUUAAAUUUAAUUUUAUAGUAUAUGACAUGGAUUCUGGCGUCAUCUUCCACAUCACUGAACUUCAUCUUCACCUAUUUUCAUCAUUCUAUGUUUCCAACGCUUCCCACUAUGAACGUCUCUAGAAAAAACUGCCCGAUGUGGCUCUCCUCUUGGCUCUACCACAGUUAAGAUUUUCGGCUUGAUGUCGUGUACCUGCAAUUUACACGAUGUGUUCUCAUUCGAUGGCGAAUUCACUUUAAAUUUAUUCGAUAAAAAUAUGGUUUUUAGAUUAAACUGUUUAUUUUUUAUUUUUUUUAAGGGAAAACAAGAUAAGAAAUAAAAUCUUAAGUGUGACUCUUUAUUUGGGAAAGACGGUCUGUGGAAAACUAAAAUCAAGUUUGAGGGUCAGGUUAUUUAUUGGAAAGGUAUGAUAAAAGACUGUAACACUCCUCUAAAUCCCUAAAAACGGGUCUCUAUUAAAUAAGGUGAAACAAGUGUUACAAUUGAUAAGGAAAUUAAUAGAUACCAAUAAAAUGAUCAAAUAAUAAAACGAAUCAUAAAUAAGAAUAAGCAAAGUGAGAGUGAGAUCAUACCUUAGCAGCAAGUAAUAAUGCGUUAUCAUGAAAACAAUAUUAGUUCAAGUAUAAAAUUAUCACAUGCAUAUUAAAGAGUAAAACAAAGAUCAAGUAAUAUUCAUUAAACAUAACAAUUAACAAUCAAAAGAGAAAACUCAUAUAUAGGGCCCUACCAAAGUCCAAUUGAUUUUGCAUGAAUAAAUCCAACAAAUUUCAUUAUUUUAGAAUUAUAAAAAUCAUAUUCAUACUUAUUUAAAAUCAAGAAAAUCGAAAAAUUAUUUAAAGAUCAAAAAAAAUUUGUGAAAGUACUUACCUGAAGGGAAAUGUAACAAGUUUAUUAAAAACGAGAUUUUUGGAAAUUAUUUGAAAAUUGAAAUCUUAAAAAUUAAAUUUAAAAAUUGAAAUUUAAAAAAAAAAAAUUGAAAAUUGGAGUUUUGAAAAUUGGAAUUUUGAAAAAUUAUUUGAAAAUGAGAGUUUUGAAAAUUGGAAAUUUGGAAGAGUAUUUGAAAAUGGGAAUUUUGGAAAGUGAUUUGAAAAUGGGAAUUUUGAAAAAUGAUUUGAAAAUGGAAGUUUUGAAAAUUGGAAUUUUGAAGAACUAUUUGACAAUGAAAUUUUUAAAAAUUAUUCGAGAAUGGAAGUUUUGAGAAUUGAAGUUUUGAAAAUUAGAAUUUUGAAAAUUAUUUAAGAAUUAGAGUUUUGAAAAUUAUUUGAAAUUUGAAAAUUUGAAAAUUAAAUUUAGAAAUUGAAGUUUUGAAAAUUAAAUUUGAAAAUUGAAGUUUUGAAUAUUGGAAUUUUGAAAAUUAAAUUUAGAAAUUAGAGUUUUGAAAAUUGGAGUUUUGAAAUUUAUUUUAAAAUUAUUUGAGAAUUGAAGUUUUGAAAAUUAUUUGAAAAUUAAAUUUGAAAAUUGGAAUUUUGGAAAAUUAUUUGAUGAUUGAAGUUUUAAAAAUUAAAUCUGGAAAUUGAAAUUUUGGAAAAUUAUUCGAGAAUAAAAGUUUUGAGAAUGAGAUUUCUUAAAAAUUAAAUUUGAAAAUUAGAAUUUUAAAAAAUUAUUUGAGAAUUGAAUUUUUAAAAAUUAAAAUAAAUUUUGAAGGUCGGAACAAAUCAUCUCAUUGACCUUAUCCCCGUUCUUGUAAAUCUUGAAGGUUGGAACACUUUUUAUGCUCUCAGUUUUUGCUACUGUUGGGCUCUCCUCCACAUCCAUCUUGAGAAAUUUUAUGGAUUGGUAUUGAACACAGAGCUUAUCCAUGAUGGGGGAGACCUGUUCACACUGGUAAUUGGAUGCCACUUUGAAGUGAACCACCGAAACACCAGGUGAAGAUAUUGCAGUUUUAAACUGGUCGACACCAGAAACCUCCUCCACUUCACCACCAAACUUCACACUAUGAGUUUCAUCCUCCCAUGAUUUUGACAAUGCAGCUUGUGCCUGUGAUAGAGAUUCAACAACCUCGACGUCUCCAGGAAGUUCCCUUCUCAAGACCUCAUAAUCUUUUACUACAUCUGCCCAUCGUCCAAGCUUCCCAUUUGAGACAGCUCUAUGAAGAAGAGCCUUGGUGUAAUUUGGUUGGAUCUUGAGGGCAUGGUUGCAUUCCUCAAUAGAUUUUUCCCAUAAACCAAGUUUAGACCAGCAAACUACUCUAUUGCAAUAUAGAACAGAGUUCGAUGUAUCAUACUUGAGGCCUUCCCCGUAAGCUAAGCAGGCUUCUGAAAAUCUUCCAGAACUAAAGAGUUCAUUGCCAUGGGCCUGCGCUCUUGCCACCAGUUUAACAUUGUUCAGCAAUUUUGCAACUUCAACAUUACUAUAAUCAAUCAACCCCGUCUUCUCUGCUGCCGCAACUUCCCAGUGCCAUCUCAACCUGAGCUCGAACAUAGAGAACAUAGGCUUCAGCAAUCACAUCGAAGAACUUGGUUGAGCGAGAAGGAGAAUAAUGUUCAAAUUUUGGAAUGCUUGAUAGGUAGGAAUCUGCAUCUUCAAUUUGGUGGAGCUUCAACAGGGCCUCUACUCUCCAUGAAAUGAGUUGAGGAUAAGAAUCUGCCCCGCCUGCAUUGGCUCAUCACAUUCCCUUAGUGUACUUUUCCAAUCACCAAUUUUCCAUGCAUCAGCACAUCGGUUCAAAUACUUCUCCAAAGAAAGCAACUUCUGAAGCUCAGAUGGAUCUGGCGGCUGCGCGCCCAGGUAAAAAGAGAUGGCGUCGGGCAAAAUCAACAUGCCCUAACCUGAAAGUGCUCCUCCAAUCUUCCAAAGACCGGUAAACUUCCUUCAUCCUUGCUACCCAUGACUCGCCUCCUGCAACUUCUCUAUCUAAUGCUCAGAUCAUUAUCAUUUGAAGCUCUCUCGUUCCAGUCAUCUCUCUUGCUCUGUUUUUCUGUUUUUCUCCCAAUCCCAAAAAGUCUCUUUCGUUCCUCCUCCUGGUACUCUGUUUCUUUUCGCUUUAAAUCAUCCCCUGUCUCAGUCCAGCUUUUCUUCUCCUAUCAGCUUCCCACCCGUUCCAUUGCUCCUGGUUCAGCAAAGAUGUCACCACCCUCAACCACCACCAUGGCAAGUUGGUAGUCCUUGCCACACGUCCCAGCAUGCAGCUCACCUGGAAAGCCAUCCCCCACUCUAAAUGAAAUGUUCAGCUCUUCUCGGGUGGCCAGCAGGUGGUGAGAAAAAAAAACUUUGGUCCAGAGAGGGGUCUACAGAUGCCUUCGAUCUAUUUCAGGUGGUCGGCUUUGGAGCAUGGAUGGCUGCAGAUCUGCCAAGUUGUUGGCCAUGAAUCUCCUGAAUCCACUUAUUGCUAACCGCUUGUAUUAUUCAACAGUUGAAGGCUGAUUUCAUUGAGUUGAAAGGCCAAUGGGCCAUGGGGAGCAAUGCUUGCUUCACCCAAUUUUUAAAAAUUCAUUUUUAGUAAUACAAAAAAAUUUAUUGUAUGAAGUAUUGAUGUUAUUAUUAUCUUUUUAUAUUGAUUUUAUUUUUUAUAUUUUUUUUCCUUAGGAUUUUCUUUCUUUUCACUUUUUCUCCCUCUUUUCUUUUAUUUAUAUUUUCUCAUAAUCAAAUAUCGACUUAGAAUUUAAUUGCAAACAAAGUGUUAUGUAAACAAUUAAUAUGGUCUUGCUAUUUUGCUUUUAUGGCCAUUAAAUUUAAGGACUUUGUGUGAUGGCAAUAGGGUGAUUUUUUUAAGGUACCUGUCCACCCUGGGCUUAAAAUUUAAAUAAAUAGGUUUGGAGCAGGUUUGAGUUUUUUUAAACUCAAGACGAGUUUGGAUAUUGUCCCACCCCAAUCAUAUACAAAAUUAAUUUAAUUUUUUAUUUUUCCAUUUUUAAUAAUAAUAAUAAUAAAAUACUUUUUAAUAAAAUAAGUUAUAAAAAAUUAUAAUACUUUAAUUAUGUAUAUAAUAUAUAUAUAUUUAUAUAAUUAAAUAAUUUAAAAAAAUUAAAAAAAAAAGUUUAAACAAAGCGGGAUAAGACAAGUAUGAGAAUUUCUCAUACCUAUCAUACCCUGCCUAUCACAUUUAAUUUUUUUAAUAGAACAAGGUUACAACAUGGGCUACCUAUUCUAAACCUGUCUCAUUAUCAUCCCUACAUGUGUUUGCAUGUAUAUAUGAUACAAGUGGAAAGUUUGAACUAUGAUAUUGAAAAUUCAAUUCACCAUUUAUUUUGUAAUUAUACAUCCAAAUAUAAGCAUGGAAAGGGGCGAAUUGACAUAAUAGAAGGCCUAACUGCUCAUGUUUUGUAUUUAUUUAAAUUAAUAUUUAUUAAUCAUUUAUUUAUGUAAUAAAAAAUUUGUAAUUCAAAAUUUGAUUUUACUAAGUGAAGUACCUGAUGACCAGAACUGGAGCAACCUAAAGAAAGAGAAGAACAAAAAAUACACCACGACAUAUCCCAAAAGCCUAAUGGCCCAUCCCCUAAAAAUACUAGCUUUAUAAUUAUUAUCGUAAAAGAAAGAGAUGAACAAGUGAUUUUUCGUCAUAUAAUGUUAAAAAAUUAAAGUAUUAAUUUUUUUUUUCUACUGAAAAUAAUUUAAUUUCAUAUUUCUAAUUGUUUUUUUUUUACUUUAUGUCACUUAUUAUUUAUUUUUAAAAUAUUUUUACUAAAUUUAAAAAAUAAAAAAAAAUUAAAUAUUAAAAUUAAUCUAUUGAUUUUUCUUUACUUAAUAAAAAUAAAAUAUUUAAAAAAUAAAUAAUUUAAUAAUUAAUAUUAUUAAACACUAUUUAAUUUUAAGUUAAAUUUGGAUUUAAGUCUAAAAAAAAUACCACUUAAAUGUCUUCAUUGCAACGAUGGACAUUAUUAACUCUACUUUUUUAUAAAAUCUUUUAUUUUAGGAAAUUUUAACUUCCAAAUGAAGUAGUUACGAGAAAAAUAACUAUUGUGGUUGAAUUUAUUUGAAAUAAAUAAACCAUAAAAAAAACACUUGAAUGGAUUAAGGACCGAUUUUUUACGCCAAGGUGGUGGUGAUAUAUUGAUUUGAGUAAGAAUUUUAUAAUUUCCCAAAAGAAAGAUAAAGAGGAAAAGCAACAUUUAUUAAAAGAUAGAUACAUUAGAAUAUCAUAUUCAAAUUUAGUAUUUUUCUUUUCUCUUCUUUAUAAAACUAAAUAAUAGAAAUCAAAUGCUUUUACCAACUUCUCAUACUGCACCGUUUCGUUUUUCACUUCAUCUAAUUUUACCUUCAAUUCAUUUUUUUCCCUAUUUUAUUUCUUGAAACAUGUAUUCACUAAAACCUCUGUACCAAUGUUUCAGGACAUGGAGAGGAAGCCAUCCUGCUCCGGCCUGUCCUCCGGGCACAUAAGCUUCUCAACUAUUUGGCUCAUCGUGGGUCUUGAGUCCCUGUCUCCCUUCACACAUUCCAAGGCAACUCCAAUCAGAAUUUCCAUCUGGCGCAUGUUGCAUUCGCCUUGCAUCACAGGGUCCAGGAUGUCUUCAAUCCACGACCCCCUGACACCAAUCCUAUUCAUUCGAUCCCUCACCCAUUUAAUCAACCCAGGCUGCUCUGUCUCUCCUUGGGCAUCAGUAUCGGGGAUAGCAGAUGGGCUCUUCCCUGUCACCAUCUCCAAAACCACGAUUCCAUAGCCAUAAACGUCUACCUUGGAGGUUAUGGGAAGGUUGAAUACCCAUUCAGGAGCCAUGUAUCCUCUGGUUCCUCUGACCCUCGAGAAACUUGAAUUGCCAAGCCCUCCUCUGUUACGCAGUUUCGACAUCCCAAAAUCUGCCACUUUUGGCUGGUAAUUAGAGUCCAAGAGUAUGUUCUGAGGCUUUACGUCACAGUGCAGAACCCACUCCAAGCAUUCUUCGUGUAAAUAAGCUAGGCCUCUGGCCGUGCCAAGCGCUAUUUGGAACCUCUUCUCCCAAUCAAGAGUAUUGGACGAUAGCUUUUGUGCCAAGGAUCCAUGUUCCAUGUACUCAUACACCAACAGCCGGUGCUUCCCCUCUAUGCAAUAUCCCCACGUCUCUAUUAAGUUCAUGUGAUUAAGCCUUCCAAUGGUGCUCACUUCUGCUAGAAAUUCUGCUUCUCCUUGAUUGGCUUCUUUGAGGCACUUGAUUGCUGCCACUCGACGAUCAAGCAAUACACCUUUAUAUACCAUUCCUCCACCUCCUCUUCCAAUCUCUUGGGUGAAACCUCGCGUGGCCUUCUUCAACUCUGCAUAACUGAAUCUUUUAAACCCGUUUGCAGCGAGGAUGUAACCUUGCAUAGUUGAGACUGGAUCAUGGUGUACCCUAAAUAGGAAAAGCCAUACCAGCAAGACAAUUGCCGUCUCUAGAACUCCCAGUCCAUAGGCAAACCAUAGCAAAAACUUCAAAAACUUCAAUGUUGUAUCUAGCUGUAUAUAACGAGUGUUGCCUGAACAAUUUAUGGUGAAUUCUUCAAGGGGAUCAUAUCUGGGAAAGAGACUAGCUUUAGGCAGUUUUAGAUACAAGGUUUCAGGAUAAUUUGGCGAACUGAAUCCAUUAAGCAAGAGGGCCACUGGGUAACAAUUGUAAACGCCGUCCCCAAAAUUUAGCAGGAAGGCCUUGCAUUUGCACAACUGUAAGCAUAGAUUUUCACAGCUUUCAUAGGUGUAAUUGGGGUAGUGACCAUAGUCAUAGCCGUAGAGUUGAACAUGAGGGAGUGGGAAGAAGCCCACCUCAGUUUGGUUACAAGCGAUAUCAGUUUCUGGUGCGCACCCAUAAGACCAGUCAGUUGAAUUUACAAUCUUGAAUCCAGGCAUGCAAGAGCAUCCUCUGCCAUAAGCAGGGGUGUAACUGCAGAGACUGUUGGGUCCGCAGAUGCCAUGAAUCUGGCAUGGUUGGGAGAUAGCCUGCCAUGAAACCGACCAGGUUCCUCUCGUUUCUUCUAGACUAUACAUUCUAAGAUUGCCAUCGAAAUCGAGGGUCAAUCUUCUCUGAGGCCCCGCACCAAAAUCCGCUGACCGAAAUUCCAAAUCAUCUGAUGCUCUAUAAUAACCCAAAGAAUCGAAUACUGCGAUUCGACUGUUGUUGUAUGUGCUCCUCGCAGCCUCCCAGGUCACCCGGCUUGGGUCUGGCCAGUAGAGGCUGGAAACCACAGGACCAUUGAAGAGAAGGCGGAUGACGUUAUCAAUGUCAAAAAAUAGCUUAUAAAAACCAGAAGAAUAGUUGCUUUGGCUUCUUGAUGAGAUAAGGCUGGUAUCUUUUGUCAGUAUCUGGUGAGGAAGAAGGGUAUCUGUGGGUGAGUCAAAGCUCUGCCAAAUCACCGUCUUCUCCCAAGCAUAUAGAACAAGAUUGCCGGUGUUAAGGAGCUGUAAUCUCACAUACGAGGUUGAAACGGUGUUGGUCAUCCAAACCAUGAUUUUGCCAGCAUCAGUUAAGAGGAGAUUGCCAUUCCUCAACAAAGAAAGCUUGGAGCCUCUACCGUUGACCGGUUGGUCACGGUUCGCCAUCCAAACUGUGGUUGCACCCCAUGAUUUUGUGAACCAUAUGGCGAAGCAGAAAGUGUUGUAACUGUUGUUGCCGACCUGAUAAAACCCAGCAGAGAAUAUACCAUUUGCUGAAAUGAGAACAUCAUUUGAUUUCUCCACGGAAAGAGAUGAGCCUUCGCUCAGAGUAUCAUACGUUUCAGAUGAAGAUGGAUAGAAAGUUAAUAGCAAAGCCAAAACAAAGAAACCAACUGUCCUAUCCAUGAGUUUUGGGAUAUGGUUUAUGUGCUCUGUUUCCUGAUCAGAUAUUUGCAAUGGAGAAUGCAAGUGUAUGGUGCUACCAGAGUUUAGAAAAUAAAUGUUUACAUCAUGACUCCUUGACUGGGUGAACGGGGAAAAUUUACAUUGCCCCUCGGGCCAAGUUUUGCUUGCGCCAUCGUGUUUGGUUUCUAAAAACAUUUCAUGUCAAUGUCAAAGACUCAAAAUAAUGGGAUGAAGACCCGGGACUCUUUGACUGGCCUGGUGGCCUUCACGAGUUUUAUUUAGUGGUGACGUAAAACUGGGGUCUGGUCUGAUGUUGAUUGGCCCAAGCAGGGAAAGAUCAAAUGGGAAACGACUUGUGGGCUGACUUUCCAUGCACCAAGGAACACUUCAUAGAAAUUAAUCGAGCCAUUGAAUUUCAUAAGUUCCCUCUUUGCAGAAUUUUGAAUAUUUAAAAAGAAUCUUAAUUUUUAAAACCUAAAUUUAUGGUUAAUUUUUAAAUGCUUAAUUAAUGCGAUUCAAGGUGUAAAACAUUUUCUUUUAUUGAAUCAAGAUUUAAUUUAAAAUAAAAUUGUUGGUAUUGCUCCCUCUUUUUUCUCUUUUUCUUAUUCAAUCUCUAUUUAUAGUUUCACAAUAGUAGUUUUCUUGCCACCUUUGUGGGUCAAGAGGAACAAAUGCUAAGAAUUGUAUUCAUCUGCUUUCUUGCAACACUCACUAAAUGUAAUAUUGUAAUAAGAUAUGGAACCUGAUUUUGAUUAUGUUGGUAUAAUUAUUGAUACAGUUGAUGUCUCAAAGUCAUUUUGGCAAGGACUUUCAGGGUAUGGUCGAAUCAAGCUUGUAUAACUAUUAAUUAUUAAUAUGGUUAAAAGAUUUCUUCGACAUUUUGGUGCUCAUAUAAUUAAUAUUAUUACAGCUGAGUCCUCCAAAAUCCCAUUUUUCUAAUUUUGACUUUUCAAGGUAUGAUAAGCAAAAUUUAAAAGGUUGUGACUCUUUAACAUUCCCUUUUGCCACAUGGUGCUUUAAGGUUGCUUUCUAUCAUUUCUCCAAUGGCUACUCAUGGGGAGCGGACAUUAAAACCUGUGAAUCGAUGACAACAAUUUUUCUUCUUUAGAGUCUCUUGUUUUUCCCUUUGCAAUAGUAUUUUUCUACUUAAGAGGCAACAUCGCUAAUUGGAGUAUAGUUAUUUACUCUAUGCCUUAUUAGGAUCUUGAUUUUAGGAUUUUUCGAACCUUGAUUUUAGAAUCCUUGAUUUUAGGAAUCUUUUUUUUUUCUCUUCACCGUUUUUCUCUUAUUUUGCAUCUUUCUUUUUUUGAAUGGUAACUUCUUGUAUAUAUAUGCAUGUAGAACAACAGAAUAAAUAUGCAAAAAUUUUGUCAUUCCAAGUCUAAAGUUUUCAUGGUAUCAAAACGCACUUGUUCUUACAUUUUUCUUGUUGACCAUCUCUGUCACUCUUACAUUUUUCUUCUUGUUCUUUGUUUGCUUUUCACCAUACAAAUGGUUCUACUAAUCACCAGAAAAUAGAUGAAAUUGUAGAUAAAAAUAAUUUAUCUCAUCUUCAUUGUUCUGACAACCCAAGAUCCAUGAUUGUACCCUAAUCUUUGACUGGUGAAAACUACUCAACCUAGAGCAAAGCUAUGCUUAUGGCCUUAAGUGCAAAGAACAAAGUAAGCUUCAUCAAUAGAUCGAUGAUGAAACCUUCUUUAAUGAAUUCAACCUAUGGUCUAUGGAAUUGCUAUAACAACAUGGUAAAAUCUUAGAUCCUUAACUUUUUACCUUAAGAUUUAGCCAAUAGUGUCAUUUACAUAACUAUAAGAGCCGAAAUUUGGUCUAAUCUCAAGGAGCCUUUUUUUAAACUCAAUGCCCCUCAUUUCUUUCAAAUUGAGAGAGAUAUUAUCUCUUUAAGACAAUAACAUUGUUUUGUUGUUACCUAUUAACUGAAAGCUUUAUGGGAUAAACUUACAAAUUUGCUAUUUUUUCCCACAUGUACGUGUUCAACAAAAAAAAAAAGUGUUGGCAGAUUAUUAAUAGCAACAUCAUCUUAUUUAGUUCUUAAUGAGUAUGAAUGAAUUAUAUUUGUUAUACAUGGACAAAUUCUACUUAUAGACCCUCUUCAUAAUUGAAACAACUAUAUUAUCUCAUUUUACAAAAAAAAAAAAAAAAAAAGGGUCAAGGAAUGUGGUUGUGAUAGGACAACCAAGCAUUGAAACCAUGCCUUAGUAGCACAACAAUUAUAUCAUAUGGCAAAGAAACCAAAUAAUAAGGAUCCUAAGUCACAAAAGGAGUGACAUUUUUGCUCCCAUUGUGGUUAGGUUGGACACACAAUUGACUGAUGUUAUAAGUUUCAUGGAUACCUUCUCAAACAUCAUAUUCACAAAGAGACUUCUCAACCUAUUGCAAAUCAAAUAAGUCAACAAUCAUUUUCCAUAAGCAACACUUCUAUUACCUCUCCUUUCAUUAUAGAACAAUUCCAACAACUCUUUGCUCUUCUCAAGCCUCAAGUCAUGACAAAUCAAGUAGGUAGUGGCUCUUCCACUACUCAACUCUCAAGUAUUUGUUUAAACUCUUCUUUUCAUAACACUUCUUAGAUAUUAAAUAGUAGUGCAACAAAUCACAUUAUGAGUUUUAUUACCCUUUUUUCUUCCAUAACAUCCACUACUUUUGCUACUAUUAAGCUUCCUGAUAGUAGUCUUACAUCCAUAACCCAUAUUGGUAUUGUUUCAUUAUCUUCAUCUCUCACUCUUCAUAAUGUUCUUUAUGUGUCUUUAUUUCUUUUUAAUCUUAUUUCAAUUAGCAAGCUCACUCAUUCUUUAAAUUGUUUUCUCACUUUCCAUUUUAAUUCAUGUCUUAUCUAGGACUUUACCUCAAGAAAGAUGAUUAACAAGGGUGAAAAAUGCAAUAGAUUAUACUAUUUUGUUUUUUAAUCAUUAUGAUAUUUGCCCACUUGCUAAGCAAACACACUUGCCCUUUCCUAGUAGUUUUAUCAAUACCUAUGCAAUAUUUAAUAUUAUUUAUUGUGACAUUUGGGGCCCCUCAUCAUACAGAGUUUAUUUAGAGUGCAAGAUUUUUUGUAACCAUUGUUGAUUAUUACAAACAUGUGACUUUAGUCUAUAUAAUGUCCCAUAAAUCUAAAACACAUCAUCUUUUACAAUAUUUCAUCAAGCUUGUCACCAAUCAAUUUGAUCAAAAGGUUAAGAAAGUUUGAUCUAAUAACGGGAAAGAAUUUGCUAUGACUAGUUUGUUUCAAGAGAAUGACAUUUUUCAUCAAACUAGUUAUAUGGAUACUCCCUAACAAAAUGGGGUUAUUGAACAUAAACAUCACCAUCUUCUUAAUGUUGCUCAUACUUUACAUUUUCAAGCACACCUUUCUAUCCAAUUUUGGGGUGAUUGUAUCCUGAUUACUACAUAUUUGAUUGAUAAAACCUGAUCAUCACUUCAAUUCGCCCAUACUCUCUAUGUAAAGCUUUUUUUCUAGAAAACCCUCAUAUCCACAUUGAGUUUUUGGCUACCUUUGUUAUGCUUCUACUCAUGUUUUAAAGAAAACAAAAUCUAAUUCACGUGUCAAAUGUUGUGUAUUUAUCAAGUAUCCUUAUGGUAACAAGGGUUGUAAAUUUUAUGACCUCAAUAAUCACACAACCUUUGUUUCACAUGAUGUAAUUUUUCAUGAAAAUAAUUUUUUCGUUUUCUCAUGUGUCUUCUACUCCUCUUCCACAUUUAGUUCUUUCUUUGCCACCACCAGAAUAUUAUUGAUUUUUCUUCCUCAAAUGUGUCACCACCAUCUAAUCCUCCCUCGUCACCUAUGUGUCUCAUAUUUUGUAUUUUUCCUUUUUUUUAUAUGGUAAUUUCUUCUUAUAUAUAUAUAUACACACAUGUAGAACAAUAUAAUAAAUAUACAAAAAAAUUUCCAUUGCAAAUCUAAAGUUUUUAUUACUUUUUUGCUUAGUCUUGAAAGUUUUAUUGUUUAAGGUUUUAUGAACAAGUUGCCUUUAGAUCCUUUUUUUCUCCUAUUUUUUGCUUUAUUUUAUCAUUUAUUGUAUUAUUGUUUGUUUUUUUGUUUUUGGUUUUGUAUUUUUUUUUUCUCUUGAUUGGGAGAUGUGGGAGGCUUUUUAUUAUCUUUCUGUUUGUUCUCUAUGUUUAGUUUUUUCUUAGGAAAACAAGUUAUUAAGCACUUGGGAAUUCUCAUAUCCUUGAAUGUGUUUUUUUUUUCUUUCUAGCAUGCCUUCAUGCAACCUAUAACUUGAUUUUCUUUGUUUAGGUUAGAGUCAUCCUAUUAUUGCUUGUGCUCAUUUGUACCUUAAGCUUAAAUCUGACUCUUAUGAAUUUGUCGUAUAUAUUCUAUUGAAAGUAUGUCUCUUUGGUUGAUCUCAAAGUGGAAGUCUCUUCAAACUCAACAUGAUCAAAAGGAGAGGCUAUGGCUCUACUCAAUGGGUAGAACAAGUCAUUUACCAGGAAAAGUAGUUUGAGUGGAGAGGAUUUGAAAUGUGGAUUAACCUUGCUUGAGAGCUUGAGAGCUUGAGAUGCAAGAGCCGGAUUUUUGUCAAAUUUUUCACAUUCCUCAGGAUAUCGAGCUUAAGCUUAUUGAGGAUAUGAAUGAAGCAUUAGACACUACUCACCUUGGACCCAAAUCUAAUUCAACAUAUGUUGUUAGAAAGCAUUUUAAUAUGGGCCUAUGGCCACCUCUUCCAUUGUUGGUUUAUCAAUUUUUAUAUUAUUUCCAAAUAAACCAAAUUCAUGUUUAUGCCGAUGUAAUUCAAAUUUUGAGGGGUGCAUUCCUUCUUGAUUAUUUGUAGGGGUUUGACAUUGGAUUAGAGGAUCGAUAUCCUCUUCACGUACAUCAUCAAACUUGAUUCUCAUAAGAAAUUUUUUUUCUAUCCUUGGAUCUCAUUUUCUUCGACUUGUAAUUGGUAUCCCUCAUACAAGCAAAGGGAUAAUAGGCACCAAUGUUAUUAUAUGUAGCUUAUGGGUAGGGACAUCAAUGGAGUGGGUUAGAGUUGGGUUACCCAUUUCCUACUCCAACUUGAUUAUUUACAUUUAUUCUCAUUUUGAAACCGAGCAUGGCAAGUAUUAAAAUUUUUCAUACUCUUCCCAUUCAAUUUAUUUUUUAUUAUUUUUAAUUUUUAAUUUUAUUAAAAAAAAUUAAUUAGACCAAAAAUAAAAUUAAUUUAUAAAUAAAUAAAAUUAUAAAUUUUUAUAAUUUAUUUUUUUGAGAUGUAGAUUUUUAUUUUAUACAUAUUAAAAUGAAGAAAAUGAAAAAAUAAUAAUUAAAUUUUCGUAUAUAUAUAAAAUUGGGGCAGGUGAGGUGGAAUAAGGAAAUACACAAACCUACCUCGAACUUGACUAGAAUUUAAAAAACAUUCUCUAAUCUGCCCUUAACCCAAAUGGCGCAAAUUGCGGUAUUACUCGGUGAUGGUUUCAUGAUCAGGAUGAUAUUCAGAAUAACACGUUUUGUAUUUCUAACUUCCAUCACCCCGCAUUUGUUAUGGCACUUGCAGCCACCCAAGGUUUGUAUUUCUAGCAAAAUCUGAGUAGAAGAUGUAUAAAUGGAUGAUCUCCGUAGGACUUCCUCUCUGAGUUGGUUCAUCUUCUAUAUGAUGGGCGUUGCCACCCUUCCCUAAUCCCGCUUCCUCUAACUAGUUUGUUGGCUGUUUUGACUCAAACCACGACUAGAUUUACAUAUUUCUUGAUCCACUUGAGACAAUGUCAUAAUGUGCUGCGCAGUGGCCGAAGAUCAUCUUCCAACAUGGAUUGCUGAUUAGCUCUUUCAAAUAACUUAUCUACUGUUUAAGGUAAUUUUAAUAAAAUAAGAGUUCGAGAAAAUAGUGUUUGGUAAGAUGGCUUCCUUAAGAGCUUUACAUGAUUGUGCCUCAUGCUGAUGCUAUCAAGUUGUAGUCUGAAUGUGUCAUGAAAUCCCGGGUCAUCUUAACAUUAAAAACGGUUGGCUACACAUUGUGAGUUUCAGGGCAAAAUAGUCCUUUGCUGUAAAAUAAUAUAAGUUUUAACCCCAUCGUAAAACUUAUGUUAAGUGAGAUUUCGGUUUUUUUUCUUUUUAAAUUUAAAAUUUAAUUAAAAAUAUAAAAUUAUAAAUUAUUGUUAAAAUUAAAACAUAUAAUUUAAUAAUAAAAAAUUUAUAUAUUUAAACUUAAUGAUUUAAUAUUAUUUCAAUAAAGAUAAAUUGAUAAAUUAACAAUCUUAAAAUAAUAAAGUUUUAUAAUAUAUAAAUAAGAUAUAAAAUUAUAUAAUUUAUUAAUUUAAGAUGUUUAAUUUGUUGUAUUUUUAAGAUAUUAAUUUAUUUGUAUUUUAAAAUAUUUAUCUUUAUUGAAAUAAUAGUAUUAUUUUAAAUUUCCAUAUAUAGAUUUUUCAUUAUUUUAAAACAUAUGUUUAUAAUUUUAUGUAAAAAAAAUACCUUGAAGAUACAUUUCAAAAUUAGUUAAUAAAAUUGAUUAAAAAAAGUCUACUACAAAAUCUAACUUUUAAUAGUUUCAUCAAAGUUACAAAAAAAAUACCUAUUAAACAUUUAUAUAGUAAAAAAAAAAAACGUCUCUCCCUAAUUGUAACAGGUAACACAUGCUAUAUAACUUAAAUUAAUAAAUUAUACAAUUUUAUAUCUUAAAUAUAUAAUAAAUUAUCUUUAUUGAAAUAAUAUUAGACCUUUUAAGUUUAAAUAGAAAUUUUUAUUAUUAUUAAAGUAUAUAUUUUUAACUUAUUUUUAAAGUAAAAAAAAAAAAAGUUAAAUGAAGCCCCAAUUGUUAUUCGAGACUUCAACUUAAUGUUACGAUGGUAAUAAAAGUGCUACUUUUAACAUAAGUUUUGCUGGGGGGCUAAAACUUAUAUUGAAAUGGUUAUUUUGCCCCACAACUCACACAUUGCUUCUGUCUGAGCACAGGUAGUGAUCAGUAGCAAAGGUCUCUGAUAGCUAACGAAAGUUAUAGGCGAAAUUUGUUGGUAAACAGUACUGGGACCAUGACAAUGUUAGGCACACUAGUAAAACAAGAACUGUUUGUAGGGCAAAUGAUCAUUUCCAAUUUCCGAAGUCUUGGCAAAAGUACAUCAGGUAAUAGAAAGGAUCCACAAUGCCCUCAUACAUAGUGAACUUCAACAUAAAGAAAUGUCCUGGAGAAUCAUGUUGCAAGAUGUGUUGAGGGAAUGGUGUAGCAACCAUAUUAUGGAGGACACAGAAAGCAGAGGUAGGCAAUGACUCUGUCACCGGCUUGAACUCCAUCUCAUAAUGAGAAGAUGUAUCCGCAGAAACCCGAAAUGUCAUUUCCCGAAUGCUGUGGGGGAGUCGGUUUAUCAACACAUGAAUGUCCCUGAAUUCCAACCUGAGCCACUAGUUUCCGGAUAUAAGAAAGUCAUCCUCGUUUAGAUGCUUGUAAGCUCCAUGGACAGGGCUUGCUGCAUUGGAUCCAACAUACGCACCAAGGAUUAAAAAAUCAAAUUAUUUCAACAAUCUAUCAUCUGAAAUUUUGCAUAUUGGUUGGGCCUUUCAAAAAAUUUAAGGGUAAUGUUAGGACAUAGAAUAAGUCUCCCGUGUGAAAGUAAUACAUUCUGCACCACUAGGGUAGGUUUGCCUUUGGUAAUAUAUGUAGUCUGCUUUACUUUUUAAAACAUCCAUAUAAAAAUACGAAAUAUUUAAAUAUGAUCCUUUAAUAAGUAAAUUAAUUUUAAAUAUCUUAUGUUCAAUUUUCAUUUUACAGAUUGUUCAAAAUAUAAAAAUCAUUAUAAUAAUUUUUUGAAUGAGUGUUACUUUAUAUGUUUUGUAUAAUAUAAACAUGUAAAUAAAAUUAAAAAAUAAAUUAUAAAUACAUCAUUAUUUCUUUUAUUUUAUUUAAUACAUCCAAACUAAGUAAAUCAAUAUAAAAUAUAUUUUCAAGUUCAGGAUAUUAUCACUGAAUAAUACAAAUUAUGUCAUAUAUAUAUAUAGACAUAUAUUUGUUUUUAAUUAAAAAAAAACUUUAAUAUGUAUUAUUACUUGUUUUAUCUUUUCCUAAAAUUUUUUCCAAUAUUUUUAUCAGUUUUUAUCAAUAAUCUAAGAAAUAAGUCAAAUGGGCCAUUUCAUCUGCAUAGCCCCAAAUAAAUCGAAUUUAUUUCUUAAAAAUUGAUUUUCAUAUAUUUAUUUUUAGUUUUUAAUUUUUUUUUUUCAAGAUUUAAGUUUUAUUUUGUGAUUUUCCUUCUGACAGGUUUGCCUAUCAUAUUUUUCCUUUCAUUGGUCCAAUAAUAAAGGGAAGGGGGAAGGGCAACAAAAUUCUUGGUGAAUGGUUCGAAAAUUAAAAAAUAAAAAAUGCCAAAAUUCAAGGUUGCCAGCAGCUUAACAAAGCAGGCAUGACAUGGAGUUGUAGGCUGUGGAUGCCAAUUUUUAACAUUUUGCAGCAUCUUCUACACUGAUAAUUGAGCAAGCUGUGUUGCAGAGCCGACCUUUGGGCUCCAUGGAUGCCGAUCCAGCCCAACCUCGCAUCCACCUUGAGUGUCUAUUCAUCAAAUGGCCCAGUUUAUAAAUAAAAGUCUUUACUCUAAUUUAAUAUAAUUUUUAGUUAAAAAAUAUUAAGUCACUAAAUUAAUUUAUCAAACAUAUUUAAUAUAUUUAAUAAUUUAAAUUAAAUAAUUAAAUUGAUUCAUCAAGUACUUUCAACAUUCUUAAACUGAGCGACGAGGUGUUUGGCACCAUCACCAUUCGUAUAAUUGAUUUUAAUGCUCAUGUGGGGUUUUGUAACUCCCAAUAUCUUCAUACGCUUAUCACCUGGUGUAAUGGGUACUAUGACAUAUUCAAUGAUAUUUAGGGAGCUUAUCCUCUCUUUUCAUCAAUCUUGCAUCACCCAUCUUCCCCAAAAUUAUAUCAAUAGGUGCUUGGAAAAUACUAACAUCUCCUUAGAGAUGAUUUAUAUAUAUCGCCUAAUGGGGGUUUUUGGUUGAGGCAGAAGGGGCAAAAUGUUUAGUUAAAGAAACUCGUAGAAAGUGCAGUUUGGUAGAGAGAAUUGACUCAUCUUUUAUGGGUCCUAAUAUUUUCAGUUUUGUGAGCAUGAUUCAUUUAACCUAAACUUCAAGUUAGUUAAGGUAUCAAACAAAAUCAUGCAGAGGACCCUGCUGCUUUUUUUGUUUCUGGCUCUCAAACAAAAUUCAAGUUUGAUUUUUCUUCCCCUAAAGAUGAUACCAACAGAAACGGUUGUGUCCUUUCUGUCUGCCAAAAGUUCCAACAAUUUCUGGGAAAUUUGUUUUUCAAAAACUAGAAAACACAACAAUCAACUAAGAGAAGUCGUAAGUGAUGUCCAGCUACCCACCGAAUGACCGACCCUCCCCUUGCAUUUGCACCGUCCGCCUAAUAAGCCAUGCCCCAUCCCAACAAGUGGGGGCCACAUGCCAUCGACGGCUACAACACUGCUCCUCCCAUCACUGUAGAUACUAACCAGAUCUUUAGUUUUAGUUUUCAACAGGUUCCGCAUUUAGUUACCUGAAUUGCUGUGUUUUGGGCACAAAGAUAUAAGCAUGCUUUCCCGGGAAAAAAAGUCGUCACCGAAUUUCAUUUUUCCCCAUUUUUUCGAUUUUCUAUUGAAAAGGCGGUUGCUUCUCAGAUUCUACCACCAACCACCAUAGCUCAUUCCUCUCAUUAACAAACCCUCUAGAUUUUCUUCCUUCCCCGUCUUUUCCACUGUACACUACCAAAAUUAUUUGUAUUUAAGAAGGAAAAAAAAAAAAAAAAGGGAACAAGAUUUCAAAAAAACACAGCUUGUUUUUUAAAUAUCCCGAUUCCCUCCGAGUCGACUCAUCGCUGCAACCAUAGGUAGGUUGUUCCUUCCUCUACUCGAUUUUGCCAAUUCCGAUACGCUUCAUCACUGCGUUCCAAAUAGCUUCAGUCUGCAAACACAGACCAUUUUGCUCCAUGCCCGACAUGUAGUUCCUCACUUCCUUUCUGAUCAUUUCUUGCAUCACAGCCAAGAAUUCGGGGGUGAAGAAAGGUUUCUCCGACAUACCUAAACCCAACUCACAGUUCUGGAUGUUUCGUGGGGAUCCAGGGUUUUGUUGCAGCUGUACAGGCGGUAUCGCCGGUGAUUGGAGAAUCUGGUUUUGGAUUUUAACAUGAUCGGAUCCUGAUAAAUGAUUUGACACUUCGCAAGAAUCGGAUCCAGGGAGAGAGAGACUGAGGGAUGUUGGGGGAUCGUUCGUCGAUGAGGCGGCCUCGAUUUUCUGAGUAGGUAGAACUAUGGGACCGGUUCUCGGCACUGGUCUAUAAACAAGCGAUGAAGCCAUGCCAGGAGCACUGGAAUCACUGAAUUCGGACCCCGAAGGACUACUUGGGCUAAGAUUAUGACCCGAAACCGUUGUGCCCGCACCCACACUAGCCGAUCUCUUAAGAGGCGGUUGUGCAUGCCCAUCGGCGAUCAUGUCCUCCGUUAUAGACGAGCAUUUCCGCUUCAAAGUUGAAUUCCAGUGGUUCUUUAUGGCGUUAUCCGUGCGACCAACGAGGAGACGAGCAAUCGUCGCCCAUUUGUUCCCGAACCUCGCAUGGGCUCUAAUGAUGGUCGCGUCCUCCUCCGGCGUAAAGGCGCGGUGCUCCACCUGCGGAGAGAGCUGGUUACACCAACGCAGCCGGCAAGACUUGCCGGACCGCCCAGGGAUGGAUUUGCUGAUCAAAGACCAGUUCCUAGGGCCGUGCUUCUGCACCAGUCUCUGCAACGCUUCGUCUUCCUCGGGGCUCCAAGGACCCUUGAUCCGAUCUAAAUCUUUCUUGGAAGACGCCAUGGAUUGAGAAGCCUAAAACGCCUACACGAAUUUGAGCCCUUAACUCUUAACAAAGAGAGGAAGAAAGGAGAGAGACUGAUUUUUCCUUCUCAGCAGAGGAAGUGAAGAAAUCUGGAGGAUGAGGGGGGUUGAGGCCUCACCUUGGUAUGAGGAGAGAGCAUAGAGGAAAAGACAGUGAGGCAUAUAUAUACGAAAGGAUAAGGAUGACUGGCUGAGGCGGUUGCAGUGACCGGUCAUAGCCGUUGCGAGUGGAGGAUUCUUCCGGGCAAAGGCAGUUACUAGCAAACAGCUGUCACCGGACACGCGUCGCGCUGGCGACGAUCUACGUCUACGCAUAAUUACACACUAAAAUCUCGGUAUUUUAAAGUUCACCGACCGUUUUGGAAGUUAUGAGGGAGGUUAAAUUAGAAAUGGGGCAUUUAUAAAGGGCUUAUAGAUGAAAUUUUCAAAUUUCUGAACUGAAGUGUACGGUUGAAGUGAGUGAGGGUGAGGGAGCGGACUUUGACUGAGCCAGGCUGGAGAGCAUUUGGUGAAUGAUUUUAAAUUUUUAUGCAAUAUCAGAAAAGGACGGGAGGGAGUGGAUGAGCUGGCACUAAACGACAACGUCUAGUAGCAGAAUCAGGGGACGAACGGUACUACUCUUCUGUCACUCCAGCCUGUAAACCAGCCACUCAUAUGGCAACGCCUAACGGCCUUCUCUUUACUGCCACGUGCCGGUGGGUCACCCCUUUCUCUCCGUUUUCCUAAACCGACUCCACCGUUUUACCUGCAUCAUCUCUGUUUUCCUCCUUUCACCUUCCAAUUUAAUUCGCAUUCACAUCUUUAAUCUUUUUAAUCGCUUGCUAUUUUUAUCAAUUAUCAUAUUUUGUUUUUGCAAACUUGUGUUCAAAUUAAUUUUUAAAAUUCAAAAUACAUUAAGACUCCGGACUUACAAAUUUAGUUGAUUGUUUAUUUAAGAGAGUGGGAUAAUUUAAAUGUUCUUUUUUCUUUAAUCAUAAAAAAGUCUAAAAUAAAAGAAAAUAUAAUUAAAAUUAAUUAAAAAAUUAUAAAUUUUUAAAAAUAUAAGAAAAAUAAAUGAAAUAAGUUAUAUAUAUUUUAUUUAUUGGCUACCAUUUUCUCUCAAAUUUUUUCAACAACCAAGCAUAAUGGAAACAUUUAAUAGAUCAUUUGGCUCCACCUUAUUGCUAUAGUAAUUAAAAUUGUAAAAUUUAGAACUAGCCAUGAAAACAUUACUUUUUAAAUUAAAAUUUAAUAAAGUAGAAACGAAGUAUCAUUCUAAUAAUCUUGUAGAACUCUCAUGAUUUCUUUAUCAUAUAUGUUAAAAUUUGUUAAUUAAUUUACGUAUUUUUUUAUUGAUUUUUACUGGUAUUUUUAAAUAUAACAGAAAGGUAUUAAUUAGAAUAAGUAAGUAGGUUUUACUUGAAAGUAAUUUUUGAUACAACUAAAAAUAAAAAAAGGUGUUUAACAAAUCAAUUUAAUGAUUUAAUAUAAUUUAAUAAUUUAAUUUAAAUUAUUAAAUAAGUUAUGGAUGUGUGACAAAAUUACUUAAUAUUAUAAUUUAAAAUUGUUUUUAAUUACGGUUUAAGGCUUGUAUCCCUUUGGCCUUUUAAGGCCGUUGACUAUUCUCCAGGAGAUUACGUAUUAAUUGGCUCCUCCUUCUCAAUGUUGAACACAUCUGUCUGCCACUCACCUCUUUCUGGUUGCUAGAUUAGCCACCAUUGUUCUUGCAACAUUGCAAGCAGCUUUCCCGUGUUAGCCAUUGCAAUUUCAUUUUCUAGAUGCAAUUUCUGUCGUUUACAGCAUCCCACUCUAUUGAACCAUUGAACAUUACAGUUUUUAAGAAACAAAAUCUCUUCAUCAUUUCUUCUGGAGGAAUAUUCUUAUGUUCUAAUUUCCUUUUCCUUUAUUGUUUGUUUUGGGCUUGGUCAUUUUUAACUCUAGCCUUAAUUUUUUUAAACCUAUUUUUUCUAACACCUCAGUUGAUGAGAAGUGCAUAACAAUUUCAGUAUUUUUGGUCACACUAGAUUGUUAUGUUGAAUACCGUACUAUUUAAAUUUAGGUCCUACAUCGGUAUACGGCAUUUAAUAUAUUUUAAGACUUAGUAAAAUGGCAGGAUAAGAACAAAUAUCAAGAUCAGGUAUUUAAUGUAUUUUGAGAUACAGUAAAAGAAGCGAUAAAAAAACAAAUGUGAAGGGGAGUCAUGAGUGGUGUUUGCAGGAGGGCGUAAGUAUAAUAUGUUGGAAAUGACGGUGGAGAAUGGAGAUAGGAGAAAAGAUGAGUAGUGAGAAAAAGAAUGAAAAGAUAUAUGCGUAGAAACAGAAAAAACGGAAAAGAGGAGAGGAAAGCAACAAAAACAGAAAACAGAAAAGGAGGGUGAGUCCUUAUCUUCAACAUGCAGUCGUUUCGCCGGGACAGCUGUCUCAACUUCUCCCUUCCAUACAUGCCUAUCUCACGUGCCACGCGCUCUUCUCUCUCACCUAACUCUGUCCUUUGCUCGUACCUCCAUGUUUUGAGCAUGUCCUCACGUGACAUGACCAUCCCUUCCAUGGCUGCACCCUCUGUCCCUCGUGGCCACGCUCCUCAUGAGCCAGGGUGCCACAAGGGCUUCACCCCCACCCACCCAAUUAACGAAGUCAAAUUAUUUAAUUUUGAUUUGGUGAUUAGGCAGAAUAUUAAGUCACAUGGUGUGGAAGAGCGGAGGAUGUUUCCACAAUUGAUUAAAAUUUGCAGGUGACGAAUAAAAACAAAAGUUCCCGUUUCCAAGUUCCAAGACUCUCAAGGAAGGGCAAGGCCGACGUUGCAUUAUUAGAGUCCACAGGCGCAACACAUAAAAUAACAAGGAAUUGAAACACACAGGACCGCAAAAAGAAUGAUACGUCAUUAAAAUAAAAUAUCGGAGAUUAGGCCGCAGAAAGUAAAAGUGAGCACAGAUUCUCUCGCACCAAGUACAUUGUUCCCAUUAACAAAUGUAGGACUGGGGAUGGUACUAUAAUUGCUGUUGGGACACUGAAUCAUUGAAUGUAGCACCAUCAUAGCUGGGCAUGGUCGUCUUCGUCUUUCAUUAAUUAAAACAAAUAGGGUCGUUAAAAAUCUUAUGAAUACCUAAAAAAACUCGUUUGAAAAAUAUAUUCUCGUUCAUUCAUCGUCUUCAGAAAUUCAGGAUGAAUUAUGUAGAAAAAAGAAGAAUAGGAAGGGGCCUCCAUUGUAUUAUUGGUGUGUCACCUGUAGCGACAGCCAUGCGUGUCGUCCAAAUGAAGUGCGUGGGUGUGUAGUGGAAUGAGAAGCAGACACGUAGACACAUCAAUGGCGACCAAACAUCCGACACGGCAAGCAAAGUGAUGACUGAGUUCUGCCACGUAUGCGGAAGUGGGCCAGGAAGGAAAUUCGUCUGUUUAAGAGUGACGUGGCAGAUAUGGCAUAGGGGGGAAGGACCAUAUGGCAGAUAUGGCAUAGGGGGGAAGGACCAUAGAGAGCCGAGAAGCCGUUGUACUUUGGCAAUCAGGUGCCACGUCCACAGUUGCCAGCUAUAACCCACUUCCCGAAUCCCAAGAAAUUAAGAAGAUAAUAAUCGUCUUUUUAUUUAGCGGGGGAUGGCGAAAGGUGGGUGGUGUGGUGGGGUAAGUGACCAUGAUUUUCGCUGCAUUCAGCCAAUGGUACGAUAGGAACGUACGCUUGACGUCUGUCAUCCUGUAUUAGCGUACGGCACAUAUUAACUGUUGCUGGCCUAUACGUAAGUCGUGUCCAAAUUUGGGUUCCGCCUCGGUCUUUUCACCCACUGAAUUUCUAGUAAAGUAGAGGCUAUGGUGUACCCUCGACAUGUAGCUCUGUGUUUAAUUUGGGGGUUCAAUGGAUCAAGUCCUCAUCCUGUAACGUCACACAUACCGUCUUUUCUAGCUACCGCUGUCAUCAUUUUGAUUUCUGUACUCCUCUGUAUAUCGUAAGUUCACAACUUUAAAUCAUCGCCUUUGUCAUUGUAUUUGAAAACGCAUUGCUCACAAGUUCAUUCAAAAUUUUUAAUCCUUAGAGAAGUACACUUUAAAGCCUUUAAAAUUUCUCUCUAUAGUUGUAUACUUUUGCCAGCCAUUUAGGAGAAGGUAGAUAUCUCAGUCAUCUCCAUGGUUAGACAACCAGAUUCUCACUCUGAUAUUUUGCAACCAUAAAUGGAGAAAAUACAGCGUUGAAUGACUGUAGAUACAGGUAAAGACAUAUUCAACAUCCUUUCAGGGGUAAAAAAUUUUGAAAAAAAAGGGAAAGGUACAACAGAUUCUUUCCCCUUAUCAGAAACUUUCUUUCAUUUUGGACACCUUUUGUAGGAAAUACAAACCAACCGCACAUGCCCAUACCAGGCUUUAGAUCAAGAGCUGUUAUUGGGCACUUGCCUAUUCCUUUUACUCUUUUUGAGGACAUAUAAUUGCGCACCGUCCAAUUCAUUAGCCUAGAACUGAGUGCCCAAAAAUAUAAAAAACUCAUGAUCAAAUAGGUGGUGGUAUGCUGAACCUAACAAAUUUUCUGUUAAUGUGCCACCCAAUUCAUCACUUGUGGUUACUCGGUUGCACCCAAUUUCUCAUUAAUUUGCAAUCCACGCAUAACUCAACUGUGGUGUCCUCAACACCCCCAUUUCGUUAGAUUUGAUUCUGAAUUUUGUCUAUCAGAUUGAAUUGGUAACUAACUUUGAAAGUCAUAUGCGCAACUUGGCAUGCAAGAUCUGUCCCGAAGUAGGACCACGUACCCAUCAAGCUUUAUGGUUUUCAUAUCUAGCUAAGAAUUUUUUUAUAAUAAUAAUAAAAUAAAGGGGGGGAGUGGGGGAUGGAACAGAAGCUGAAGUAGUGGGUGGACCUCGUGCUUCUCGUGCCAUAUUUUGAAUAAAAUAUUCGUUGAACAGUUCUGGUGAUUUAAUAAUUGAAGAAUUGACCAGAGAAAAAAUGGGCAGAGACGAAAGAAGAAUGAGCUGUUGCAACUGUCCACUCGGUCUUUUAGUUAUUUAUCUGCAUCAAUCGGUUUUUUAAAAGGAAAAACAGACAUCCCUAUCCACGUAAUUAUUAUAAACAGAUAAUGAACAAGUGGAUUACAACUAACAAUGUAUUGAUGUUGGAUGUUUAUUAUAAUGAAGAUUAUUGAGUGAAUGAUUUGUGGAAGCAAACAAAAGUCCAUAGUUACGUCUGGAAUUAUAUUACAGUUGGCGAUGCCUCUUCUAGAAUUCAUUGCGUCUCGGCUAUGUAAGGCAAAUAUCAAAUGAAGGUCAUGUCAAAGCGUUGGAGUCACAUGCUUAAUGGCUACGACAUACUGGUCAAUGGGUCUGCAUCAACACCUUCAUUCAAGUUGACCCAUUUAAGAUUAGGGCAAAUUGAGCAAGUAAACGUGUUUUUAUUUCUUUAUUUAUUUAUCUUUUGACUGCUUCAAACCAAGGCACUACCCCUUCAAUUCAUUGCUCUGCCCAUUAAGUUCUAAUCUUAAAAAUCAAGCAAAUCCUAAUAUCUCUAAUUAAUUUGUCAAUUUAUCCACACACACAAAUUGAUUAAAAGAAAUCUGUACCAACUUUUGAAUAUCCUUGCUGAAGCUUAUAAUAGAACCCAUGCUGUUGUACUAAAGAGAAGAAAUACUAGUGCCACCAUAAAUCUUUCUAAAUAAGUCUUCUAAUAAUAAGUUGGACGACCCAAAAUACUCAUUACUCACUUAUUUUGAUGGAUCAUUUAAUUAUCUUAGUAGAGGAAAAAUAAUUUAAGCUCCGUUUGGUUAAUAUCUUUUAAAUUAAUUUUUUAUUUUCUUGAAAAUUUAUAUAUAUCUGACAAUAAGAUAAUAGCAAAAAAUAAAGUAUUUUUAGAAAAUAUUUUUUAAUUAAUUUUUUCUUAAUUUUGUUAUGAUUGUUUUAAAAAAUAAUUAUACAAAUAUUAAAAAAUAAAAAAUAAAACAUAACAUAUACUAAUUAUUUUUAAAAUACAUUCAAAAACAAAGAAACAAACAAAUAUUUGUUUUACAAAAUAAUAGAUAAUAAUUUUCAAAAAAGUAUUAUAAAAAAUUGUUUUUAAGAAUUAUUUUCAAAAUAGAUAUCAAAUAAGGUCUUAAACUUUGUUUUAUAACUAUUUUAAAACAAUUUUAUGUUUUUAAAAAAAAUAAAUUUCAAUUAACUAAAAAAAGGUUUUUUUGUUCUUAACAAGAAAAAAAUAUAUUCUUGAAAAAUAAUGGCAUAAAUAUAAAGAAUAAUUAAAAGUAAAUCAUUAUAUAUAAAAGUUAUUUUUAAAUAUAUUUAAAAAUAUAGAAAAUAAGUUUAAAAUAUUUUAAGUUUCAAAAUGCUUUUUAUUUUAUAAAACAUAAUGAUUUUUCAAAAAUUAUUUUUAAAAACUGUUUUAUAAAAUCAAAACAAAAUCAUAUCCUUUUUUUCGGAGAUCUCUAUCUUUUCUUUCCCAGCAGUCCCAAAAUUAUACCUAUGCUAUGCACCUGCCUUUUUAUACUACGCUUGUGCCCAAAAAUUAGUUCUAGCUAUUCCCAUCAAUGAACUGACAAAUCAACAAUAAAAAUGGCUCCAUGAGAGCCGGACAAAGUGGAGUCCACAGCAAUUGAGCUCAUUAAAAGUAGUGUGAAGUCUCUUUUGGUAGCUUUUUUUUUUUUUUUUUGAAAAAAAAAAAAUUGCCAUCUAAACAGUAAUUAAAAUGAUACCAUUUUAAUGCCGUUGGAAAAAAAUAUAAAAUAAAAGGGUAAAGUGUGAACGUAAUAAAAAGAAAUGCGUGAAGAAUAAGCAACGCGCCUCAGUUUUUGAAAUACGGGAUCCCGCUCCCCUUCUGUGGUUCCAUUUUAAAAUCUUCCCCAAUUUGGACCUAUGUUACCAAGAGAAAAAAAAAAAUGGCGUCCGGUAUAGGAAUGAUGGAUUCUGCAUGUUCUGUGAGUAGACCAUUCUUUCAGGGAUCAACUCGACUCUCAAGCUCAAAUCUUUCCAAAAUUGAAGAGGUUCCUUUUAAAUUUCUCUUCUUUUGUUUAGUUUCUUCUUUUGAGUAAAAAUUCUCACGGCAAUGAUGAGGGUUUCUACAGAUGGCUGAUGGUGCGAUUCCAUGUCAACUAAUGGAUCGAUGCUAUCCAUCUAGAUGUGCUGCCCAUGCGUAAGGUUAAUUUUGAGGCCAAGAAAAUAUAUAAAUGAGACGAACCAGAAUCACAAGGUCGUUGAAGAUGUUUCAGAUCACCAGAGAGGCUCGCUUCUCUUCUUUAUCCACGGAAUUGGGGUUUUCUUUCAACUUCACUGACUAUUUCAUUUGUUUGUUAAUUUUGAGUAUCAAGAAAACUAUAAUUUUAAAGGAAAAUCAAUUCAACUAAAGUCUUAUGCAAUUGUUUUAACUGAAUUGAGCUGAGUAUUUUCAUUUUGGUCGAUUAAGCCAUUACGCUUCUAAUUUCUUGUCCUCCUUUUAUUCCUCAUUUUUUUUCUCUCUCAUUGUAUAGGAUUCUUGCCUUCCUAUUUGACUCUCUGAUUUUUCCCGGUAUUUUGUUCUUUACGGCGUUUCGCAGAUGGAAGGAAGGCUUCUCCUCAAUUUGGAGUUCAUGCAGUGGAUGAAAAGUAAAUGUUAACAAGUAAUCCUUACCUCAUUGCUUUCUAAAUUUUCAGUUUAGUGGAAUUUUUUUAAUUUUCUCGUGUAGGAAGUGAGUGGUAUAUUGGUAGUUUUGAGCAUCAAUCCCGCACAUUUAUUACUUAAAAGGACCCAAUGAGGAAAGGCCAGGUUUUCUUUGUAUGAAAGCUAGCUAGCUCCUAGCUCCUAGCUCCUAAGCAAAGAAUAAAGGAAUUUAGGCAUGGACAGAAAAGACACUGUGAAAGGUCAGAAUGCUGUAUUGUUGAAAAUUUGAUAAAUCCAGCUGAUUGGCAUAGUUAUUUUUACUAUUUGAAGUACAGUAGGCGCUUGGCUUUUGGAAAAAAAGAACAUUAUGGAUAUCUGUUAAUAAUAAAUGUUUUGAGUUUCCAUGUUACUUGCAUUCCCUAGGAAAGGAAUGGACAACUCCUCAGACGUGCAAUACCUGCUGCUUAGAAUGAACACGCUCGCUGUCUAGUUGUUGUCAAUGAAAAAGAUAAAACGAAAAUGCCAGGGAAUCUUAGACGCGGUGUAAACAAGUUUGGACUAUUGAAUAUGUAUGAGAAGACUUACACCCAUAAACAAGUUUAUAGGCGAAAAUGUAGAAGUCGGUGGUGUCUUUUUUAGAGGUAUAAACAAAAUACCAUUGAUCACAUUUUUUAGAGGUAUAUUCAUGAAAAGUAUGGUGAAAUAAAGUAAUCUUACAUCAAAGGGUUACUUAUGAGAACUUUUUAAGCAUUUUGUAAAUUUUAAAGAAAACAUAGACGCGGACCUUUGAUCACAUUUCCAUAAUCCAACUAGAUGAGUAUACACUAUGAACUUGGACUUGACAUAGGCCCACAGGUGCAUAGGCCUCACUAGGCAGGUGUGAACUUGGGCUUAGCCCACGCCUACAUGCUUUGAGGCUUAAUUGAAAUAUCCACCAACAUGAAGUGGGGACUUUUCUCAAUAGUACAGCAAUUUAAAAAAGUUAUGCUUAAAUUACUGUACUGGCAGAAGUUAUUACAAAUAUAGGGUAGUUUUUGCCACAUAGGAGAGAGGAGAGAGGAGAGAGGGUGAGAGAAGAGAGGAAAGAGGAGAGAGGAGAGAGGAGAGAGGAGAGAGGGUGAGAGAGAGGAGAUAGGAGAGAGGGUGACUGUAAAAAAAAAGCAAACUCGUCUCUUGAAGAGACGAGUUCCAUGAAAGAAGAGAGGAAAGAGGAGAGAGGAGAGAGGAGACAGGAGAGAGGAGAGAGGAGAGAGGGUGUGUAAAAAAAAGUAAACUCGUCUCUUGAAGAGACGAGUUCCAUGAAAAAAGAGAGGAAAGAGGAGAGAGGAGAGAGGAGAGAGGGUGACUGUAAAAAAAAAGCAAACUCGUCUCUUGAAGAGACGAGUUCCAUGAAAGAAGAGAGGAAAGAGGAGAGAGGAGAGAGGAGAGAGGGUGAGAGAGAGGAGACAGGAGAGAGGAGAGAGGAGAGAGGGUGUGUAAAAAAAAGCAAACUCGUCUCUUCAAGAGACGAGUUCCAUGUAAAAAAAAAUAUAUUUUUUAUUUUAAAAAAUCCCAAAUUUAAAAAAAAAAAAAAAAAAUUCCAAAGGGAACUCGUCUCUUCAAGAGACGAGUUCCAUGUAAAAAAAAAAUUUUUUUAAAAAAAUAUAAUUUUUAUUUUAAAAAAUCCCAAAUUAAAAAAAAAAAAUAAAAUCCAAAGGGAACUCGUCUCUUCAAGAGACGAGUUCCAUGUAAAAAAAAAUAUAUUUUUAAAAAAAUAAAAAAUCCCAAAUUAAAAAAAAAAAAAAAAAAAACACACAAUUCCAAAGUGAAGAGACGAGUUCCAUGUAAAAAAAAAUAUAUUUUUUAAAAAAUAUAUUUUUUAUUUUAAAAAAUCCCAAAUUUUAAAAAAACAAAAAUAAAUUCCAAAGGGAACUCGUCUCUUGAAGAGACAAGUUCCAUGUAAAAAAAAAUAUAUUUUUUUAAAAAUAUAUAUAUUAAAAAAAAAAUCCCAAAUUAAAAAAAAAAAAAAAAAAAAAACACAAUUCCAAAGGGAACUCGUCUCUUCAAGAGACGAGUUCCAUGUAAAAAAAAUAUAUAUUUUUUAAAAAAUAUAUUUUUUAUUUUAAAAAAUCCCGAAUUAAAAAAAAAAAAAUUCCAAAGGGAACUCGUCUCUUCAAGAGACGAGUUCCAUGUAAAAAAAAAUAUUUUUUUAAAUAUAUAUAUAUUUAAAAAAAAAAAAAAAAAAAACAAUUCCUCAAAAUUUCUAACAGACGAGUUCUCAUCUAAAAAAAAAUAUUUUUUUUUUAAAUAUAAAAUUUCAAGAGACGAGUUCCUUUAGGAAAAAAAAUAUAUUUUUUAAAAAAUAUAUUUUUUAUUUUAAAAAAUAUAUUUUUUAUUUUAAAAAAUAUAUUUUUUAUUUUAAAAAAUCCCGAAUUAAAAAAAAAAAAAAAUUCCAAAGGGAACUCGUCUCUUCAAGAGACGAGUUCCAUGUAAAAAAAAAAUUAUUUUUUUAAAAAUAUAUAUAUAUUAAAAAAAAAAAUCCCAAAUUAAAAAAAAAAAAAAAAAAAAAAUUAAUUCCAAAGGGAACUCGUCUCUUCAAGAGACGAGUUCCCAUGUAAAAAAAAAUAUUUUUUUAAAUAUAUAUAUUUUUAAAAAAAAAAAAAAAAAAAAAAAAAAAAUUUCCCCAAAUUUCCAAACAGAGGGUUUCCCACCAAAAAAAAAAUUUUUUUUUUUAAUUAUAAAAUUUCAGGAAACGGUUUCCUUUGGAAAAAAAAAAAUAUUUUUUAAAAAAAAAUUUUUUAAUUUUAAAAAACCCCAAUAUAAAAAAAAAAAAAAANNNNNNNNNNNNNNNNNNNNNNNNNNNNNNNNNNNNNNNNNNNNNNNNNNNNNNNNNNNNNNNNNNNNNNNNNNNNNNNNNNNNNNNNNNNNNNNNNNNNAAAAAAAAAUAUUUUUUUUAAAAAUAAUAUAUAUUUNAAAAAAAAAAAAAAAAAAAAAAAAACAAUUCCUCAAAAUUCCUAACAGACGAGUUCUCAUUUAAAAAAAAAUAUUUUUUUUUAAAUAUAAAAUUUCAAGAGACGAGUUCCUUUAGGAAAAAAAAUAUAUUUUUUAAAAAAUAUAUUUUUUUUUUUAAAAAAUCCCGAAUUAAAAAAAAAAAAAAAAAAAUUCCAAAGGGAACUCGUCUCUUCAAGAGACGAGUUCCAUGUAAAAAAAAAAUUAUUUUUUUAAAAAUAUAUAUAUAUUAAAAAAAAAUCCCAAAUUAAAAAAAAAAAAAAUUAAUUCCAAAGGGAACUCGUCUCUUCAAGAGACGAGUUCCCAUGUAAAAAAAAAAAAUUUUUUUAAAUAUAUAUAUAUAUUUAAAUUAAAAAAAAAAAAAAAACAAUUCCUCAAAAUUCCUAACAGACGAGUUCUCAUCUAAAAAAAAAUAUUUUUUUUUUAAAUAUAAAAUUUCAAGAGACGAGUUCCUUUAGGAAAAAAAAUAUAUUUUUUAUUUUAAAAAAUCCCAAAUUUAAAAAAAAAAAAAAAUUCCAAAGGGAACUCGUCUCUUGAAGAGACGAGUUCCCUUUUUGAAAAUUUUUUGGGAUUUUUUUACAUGGAACUCGUCCCUGGAAGAGAGGAGUUUGCUUUUUUUUACCCACCCUCGCUCCCCUCUCCNNNNNNNNNNNNNNNNNNNNNNNNNNNNNNNNNNNNNNNNNNNNNNNNNNNNNNNNNNNNNNNNNNNNNNNNNNNNNNNNNNNNNNNNNNNNNNNNNNNNNNNNNNNNNNNNNNNNNNNNNNNNNNNNNNNNNNNNNNNNNNNNNNNNNNNNNNNNNNNNNNNNNNNNNNNNNNNNNNNNNNNNNNNNNNNNNNNNNNNNNNNNNNNNNNNNNNNNNNNNNNNNNNNNNNNNNNNNNNNNNNNNNNNNNNNNNNNNNNNNNNNNNNNNNNNNNNNNNNNNNNNNNNNNNNNNNNNNNNNNNNNNNNNNNNNNNNNAAAAAAAAAAUUUUUUUAAAUGUGUUUAUAUUUUUAAAUUAAAAAAAAAAAAAAAACAAUUCCUCAAAAUUCCUAACAGACGAGUUUUCAUUUAAAAAAAAAUAUUUUUUUUUUAAAUAUAAAAUUUCAAGAGACGAGUUCCUUUUGGAAAAAAAAUAUAUUUUUUAUUUUAAAAAAUCCCAAAUUUAAAAAAAAAAAAAAAUUCCAAAGGGAACUCGUCUCUUGAAGAGACGAGUUCCAUGUAAAAAAAAAUAUAUUUUUAAAAAAAUAUAUUUUUUAUUUUAAAAAAUCCCAAAUUUAAAAAAAAUAAAAAAAUAAAAUUCCAAAGGGAACUCGUCUCUUCAAGAGACGAGUUCCCUGUAAAAAAAAAUAUAUUUUUAAAAAAAUAUAUUUUUUAUUUUAAAAAAUCCCAAAUUAAAAAAAAAAAAAAAUCCAAAGGGAACUCGUCUCUUCAAGAGACGAGUUCCAUGUAAAAAAAAAAUAUUUUUUUAAAAAUAUAUAUAUUAAAAAAAAAAUCCCAAAUUAAAAAAAAAAAAAAAAAAAAAAACACACAAUUCCAAAGGGAACUCGUCUCUUGAAGAGACGAGUUCCAUGUAAAAAAAAAAUAUUUUUUAAAAAAUAUAUUUUUUAUUUAAAAAAAUCCCAAAGGAAACUCGUCUCUUGAAGAGACGAGUUCCAUGUAAAAAAAAUAUAUUUUUUUAAAAAUGUAUAUAUUAAAAAAAAAAUUCCCAAAUUAAAUAAAUAAAAAAAAAACACACAAUUCCAAAGGGAACUCGUCUCUUGAAUAGAGUUCGCUUGAUGAAUUGUUUUUUUAAAUAUUUUUUUUAAAAAAAAAUUUGUUUUUACGAACUCAUCUUAAAGAGACGAGUUCCCUUUAGGAAUUAUGAGGAAUUGUUUUUUUUUUAAAAUAUAUUUUUUUUUACAUGGAACUCGUCUCUUCAAGAGACGAGUUCCCUUUGGAAUUGUGUUUUUUUUUUUUUUUUUUUUUUUAAUUUGGGAUUUUUUUUUUAAUAUAUAUAUUUUUUAAAAAAUAUAUUUUUUUUUACAUGGAACUCGUCUCUUCACUUUGGAAUUGUGUGUUUUUUUUUUUUUUUUAAUUUGGGAUUUUUUUUUAAUAUAUAUAUUUUUUUAAAAAUAUAUUUUUUUUUACAUGGAACUCGUCUCUUGAAGAGACGAGUUCCCUUUGGAUUUUUUUUUUUUUUUUAAUUUGGGAUUUUUUAAAAUAAAAAUUAUAUUUUUUAAAAAAUAUUUUUUUUUUACAUGGAACUCGUCUCUUGAAAAGACGAGUUCCCUUUGGAAUUUUUUUUUUUUUUUUUUUUUUAAUUUGGGAUUUUUUAAAAAAAAAAAAAAAUUUUUUUUUACAUGGAACUCGUCUCUUGAAGAGACGAGUUCCCUUUUUGAAAAUUUUUUGGGAUUUUUUUACAUGGAACUCGUCUCUUGAAGAGACGAGUUUGCUUUUUUUUACACACCCUCUCUCCUCUCUCCUCUCUCCUCUCUCCUGUCUCCUCUCUCUCACCCUCUCUCCUCUCUCCUCUCUCCUCUUUCCUCUCUUCUUUCAUGGAACUCGUCUCUUCAAGAGACGAGUUUGCUUUUUUUUUACAGUCACCCUCUCUCCUCUCUCCUCUCUCCUCUUUCCUCUCUUCUUUCAUGGAACUCGUCUCUUCAAGAGACGAGUUUGCUUUUUUUUACACACCCUCUCUCCUCUCUCCUCUCUCCUGUCUCCUCUCUCUCACCCUCUCUCCUCUCUCCUCUCUCCUCUUUCCUCUCUUCUUUCAUGGAACUCGUCUCUUCAAGAGACGAGUUUGCUUUUUUUUUACAGUCACCCUCUCUCCUCUCUCCUCUCUCCUAUCUCCUCUCUCUCACCCUCUCUCCUCUCUCCUCUUUCCUCUCUUCUCUCACCCUCUCUCUUCUCUCCUCUUUCCUCUCUCCUCUCUCCUAUGUGGCAAAAACUACCCUAUAUUUGUAAUAACUUCUGCCAGUACAGUAAUUUAAGCAUAACUUUUUUAAAUUGCUGUACUAUUGAGAAAAGUCCCAUGAAGUGGUCUUUUUGAGGCAUGUUUACACCUCAGAACGACAAAUUCGUUUUAAAAACAUAAAAUCAAACUUUAACUCCGAUUAAUCUUAUUUGUGUUUUUUAAUUUUUAUGUACUUAAUUUAUUUAUUUUACACACUUGUUAGUCAUCACUUGACAUAUUCACAACAAGGAGAGUUAGAUUGAUAAAAAAAACAAAGAAAUGGUUUUUUUUUUUUAUCAAUUUUUCUUAAAUUUUUUCUUUUGACUUGAAAAAUAUAAAACACUUGCAUUCAAAUGACAAAUCAAAAUAUGAUUUUCAAAAUAUUUCUUUAAAGUUGGUUUAUGCAUAACAAAAAAUUACUAAUGUCAAUUGUUUUCAAGGUAAACAUAUCAUUUUUUUUUUUGGUACGGGUCCCUAAAAAAAUCAAUUAGGUAAUCUUUGAUACCCAUAUAUUUUAAGGCUCUAGAGGGUUAAUCUUUUUUUUUUUUUUCUUUUAGAAUCUAAAAUAAUUUAAAAUUUUGAACAACAUGAAAGGAUUUUCUUAAAGGACAAGCACUACAAAUAUAAUGUCAUCUUUUACAAAAAUUAUAGAUGGUGAAUAAACUAUUGUUAGAUUUUUCUUUCAUAAAAUAGUUCUUAAACUAUUUUUUUGUUCUUGAAAGGCUUCUAGUUUAUCUUUUUUUUUCUUUUUUUUUUCUUUUUUGUAUCAAAAAUGCAUUUUUAGUUAGCAAGAAUCACAUCAAAAUAUUUUUGUCCAAUAAAUAAUUUUGUUAAAAAGGAUGUUAAUCAUUCAUUAUUUUUUUUUAACUCAUCAUUUUUGUUAGGAAUAUUAGGCUAAUCCAACCUAUGGUAAUCACCUUAGAGGGAGGUGAAUAGGGUGAUGGUCUCUUUUCGUAAAUUUAAACUAUAUGAAUGAAGAGACAAUUAUAUACAAGUAUAUAAUAAGCAAUAUAAAGACAAUUGCAUAUAAAUUAAAGAAUAGGGAAGAGAGAAUGCAAACACAAGAGUUUAUAGUGGUUUGGCGCAACCCAGUCUACAUCCACUCUCUUCUAACAUUAAUCCUGAGCUUCAGGUUCCACUAAUCCAAGGCUUCCAAACCAAGUCUUCAAGCAAUACAAUUGGAUUAUGGUUCCAAUUCACCCUUUUAGACUUUUGGCUCCAAACACCCUUUACACUUCUCAAGAGAUAUCCCACUCUUAAACAACCCCUCAAGUGAUACCCCCACACUUGAGAAACUUCCUCUCAAAGAUUUACAAAUGAAUGAUCUUUAAAAAAUCAUAGUACAAAAACUUUAAGCUUAAAUGAUACAAGAAAAACUAGGAUUGAAUGGUGCACUAAGGAUAUGCAAGUUGUAGAACAAUGGUGCACUCAAAAACACUCUUCCAAGGCUCAAAUAUAAUCAAGAAAGGUUUGUGAAGGUUAAAACUUAUAAAACAAUGAAGAUUGGAGUUUUUUUAUAAAAAAAAAAAAUGCAAACUAGCUAUUGGGGGUUCGACCGGUUGACUAGCCAUUAGCAUUUAAUGCUUGGCGAGUGACUGUUGAGCCUCAAUCGGACCUCAACCAGACCUCAACCGGUUGAGGUUCAACCUUGACCGGGAAGAAAGACCACUAGAAGAGAUAAACUUUUUGGCUUCCUUCACCGGUCCUCGACCGGACGAGCACAACCAGUCGACCGAUUGAAUCAGUUGAGCCAUUUUUUGGCUCAACACCCAACCUUUUUCAACUUAAAACCUUUUAACACAAGUUUGAAAAUCAUUUAACACAAGGUUUUAGUUGAAAACAUGAAAUCAUCCAAUUUUUAAGAUAUUUAAAGCAAUAUUACUCUUGAAUUAUUUUGGUGCAUAAAUAAAGAAUGAAAUGCAUGAAAGUCCUAGUGCACCAACAACCUUACAAAGAGAUCUUAUGAAGCUUUGGUCUUGAAAAACUCUUCUCUUUGAGGUGAUCUUCUUCUUCAUGAUUUCUCCUUGGCUUGAUUUGUCUUUGUGAUUGCCACUUUGGAAAUCAUCUUGCCUAAUCACACUUGAAAUAUGAUCAUUAGUUCUAAACCUUGUUUUGUUAUCAUCAAAAUUAAGAUUAAUCAAACCUUGGUUUCACAAUUUUCUUCUUCAAAUGAUGUUUUUACCUUCUUAAUAUUUUCAAAAUUUUCUUUGAGCUUAAUCAUUGAACUUAUUUUCAAGAGAAUAAAUUUUCUUCUUGAGAAAGGUAUUUUUCAAAAUCAAGGUAUAAUUCUUCAAAGAUAUUUUGUAAUUCAUCAUUUAUAGUUGAAGAAUUUAGUUCAUCUUCAUGGUCUUCCAAAGCCAUGAAACACAUAUUGACCACUUCAUCUUCAUUUUUCUAUUUGGAUGAUUCCAUGAUUCCGUGUCACUUUCACUCCAAGUGACAACCAUGACUUUCUUCUUCUUUUUUGCACUUUUGGACUCUUUCUUUGAAUAAAUCUUUAUUCCCUUGAUCUUUCAAUACUUGAUAUACUUUCUGAAUUAUUGGUGAUGAUAUCAACAUCCAUCUUCACUUUCCUCAUCUUCCUCAUCAAUUAUGGAAACUAUGAAUGCCAUUUUUUUUCUUCAACUUCUUGAUAAUUACUCAUAUUUAUUUCAUGAGUCAUGAGUAAUCUAAUAAGUUCUUGAAGUGGGAGCUUGGUGAGAUUUUUGUCUUCUUGGAUUAUGGUCAUCUUAUCUUUCCAAUUUUUUUUGGUAAAAACCUCAAAAUCUUCAUGACUUUCUUUAUUUUGGUGUAAGUUUUUCCUAAGGCUUGAAAAUGGUGCCUAUAAACCUAGUGAAUAUUCAACUAAUUUUUCAAUAGCCUUCAUAGUAAAUACCUAAGGAUGUUGAUUUUAGACUACAUGAGUAAUUUCUAAGAGUUUCCAUAUGGCUUUGGUGGUUUCACAUUGAGAGGUCAUAUUAUAUUCACUUCUAUCUAAUACACAAUGGAGAUAACAUAUAACUUUAACAUUUAGUUGUGUAUUUAUCUCUUCAAACACAAUCCAUUAAUGACUUGGCUUGGGAAAUAUCAUUCCAUUUAUAAAUGGUUCUUGAAAGAUUUUUUUUUUUUAGGUCUUUUCCUACUUGAUUUUUCUUUAACUUAAUUUAUCUUUAUGAUAAUCAUUUUCUUGUUACCUAAGUGCACUUAAGAUAAACCAUUAUAUGCAAACAUUGUUUUGUUAUCAUAAAAACCAUGACUAACCAAACCUUUGCUUCAUAAGAGGUUUAUUUAUUUAUUUUAUUAUUAUUUAUUUAUUUUUAACUUUUAUCUUAUUAGAAAAAGUCAAAUUUUUUUUUCAAAUUUUUUCUUUUUCAAACUUUAACUUUGUUAUGAGACUUAAACUCAAUUUCUUAUAUAAAAUAAUCCAAAUUUAUUUUAAAAACUUUGAAUAAUUAUUGUCUUAAAAAUGAAUUGAACUACCUCAAUUUUAUGUAAUAUGGAUGAAUUUACUAUAAGUUAACAAAUUUAUUAUCAAAAAAAGGCUAACUACAACUAAAAUAGAUUCAUUUGUUUCUUAAAAAAAAAUUAAAAUCUUAAAUAUUUUUAUAAAUUAUUAUUCAAAAACAAAAUCAAUUGUAUAAAAAUAACUUAAUUUAAAUAAAAAAAUAAAUACACAAAAUUCUAAAAUUAAAACUAAAAAUCUAUUGCAUGGAGUCUUUAUUUUUAUUUUAUAUUCUUAAUAAAAUUGAAUUUCAUAAAUCUCUAUAGAUUCCUCUAUUAAAAAUGAAAAAAAAUAUAUUCAAGUUAUAAAAUUUGGAUCAUAAAUGAAUUUAUUAAAAAAAAAUUAAAUUUCAUCCACUUACCCAUGUAACAAAAGCAAAAUAAACUAUUAUGGAUUCGAAUGAUUUUUUUUGUUCAUUUAGAAUUUCAAAACAUAAUUUAUACAUAUCUAAAUAUCUGGUAGAAUAGAAACAAUAGGUUUAAUAAUUAAUAGCAUAAAAAAAUAACAUAAAUGCUUAAUAACAUUCAAUUUUAUUUAGACUUAAAUCAAAUUUAAUUUUUUUUUUUAAGAGAAAAGCCAACACUUUGCUAUUGAAGUAGAGAGAGGGGUGAGAAUUCAACAGAAACAUGGUUAUUAGUGCAAAAUUGAUAAAUUGAAAUUAAGUUUUUUUGCAUUAAAGGGACACAAAGAACGUUUUGUAAAGUAAACGUGUUAGAGGAAGUAGGUAUGGUGGUAGAAUCGGUAUGUGUGAUGGGAAGGGUCAAUCCAUCGUCGAUCAUGAUAUCAUCAAAUCCUUGAUACGGGCUAUAAAGAGAGAGAUCACUCAAGUCAGACGCAACGUGGUGAGAUGCUCUACUAUCUAGCAGCCAAGUGGGAGUAGUGUUGUUGCUGAGAACAACAUGAUUGGCUCGUGGUUGCCAGGGUGUGGAGGGGUGAUAUCCCUGAGUGCUUUGAGGACAAGGUGUCGGGGAUUGUUGAUUAGUGACAAGCCGAAACAUUGGGCUUCGCUUAGCAGUGUGUCUUUGAAUACCACAUGCUUGACAAUGACCUAAAUAAGGUUUGGGUUGGCGUUGAUUAUGAGAAAACUCAGUAGUAGAGCCUGGUUGUUGUGGAGUGGUGGCUGGUGGACGCUAAUUUGGACGAUUUUGGAAGGCUGUAGGAUUUGUCGUUGCUAGUAGUGAUAGAGGAGAUGGUUGAGUGGUCUGAAAAGAUGCUUCUUUGUUGAGAAGUUUCUCAUGGAGCUUAGCAAAAGAAAUUGACGUGUCACGGACAUUAAUUACAUUAAUGACAAAUUUGUACUCAUCACUUAGUCAUUCAAGAACCCGAUCAAUAAGAUCCUUAUCAUCAAUUGGCUUCCCCAAAAGGGCAAGUUUAUCGGCAUGAGUUUUUAUCGCCUGCAUAUAUUCACUAAUUGAUUUUGAGCCCUUGGUACACUGCUUUAAUUGUUCAUUCAAUUGUUUAAUAUGAACACGAGAUGGUUUGGCAUGGGUAUUGACUAAGGUUUGUCAUGCAUCAAGGGAAAUGGUGGUGUAGGCAAUGAUCGGUUGUAGUGAAACGGAGAUAGCACCAAGGAGAGCGCUAAAGAUGAGACGAUCCUGACGCUUUUAGGUUGUGUAUGCCGGAUUUGGGGAUGCAAUACCAGUGACGGUGACAGUGGGUGGUGGUGGAGUAUGAGCAUCAUCAAUGAAGUGAUAAAGAUCAUAACCUUUAAGAAGAUAUUGGAUUUGAAUGCUCCAUGUGAGAUAAUUGGUGGAUGACAAUUUGGUGAUAUUGGAGAGAUUGAUUAUAAGAGGGGGAUGUUGAGGAUCUUGGGAGUUUUGGAUGGUGAUAGGAUCGUUGGUGGAAGAUUGGGCUCUUGAAUGUUGAAGUAGAGAGAGGAUUAUUGAGAAACAAUGAUUUGACUUUUCCAUUAAUUAAGAAUGAAUAUAUAUACACAAAACUUAAAACACAAAAAUAGGAAACAAUCCUAAAAUUUGGAGACUACAACAAAAAUAGGAAACAAUCCUAGAAUUAGGAAAUUACAACAAAAAUAGGAAGUUACAACUAAUUACAAGAAUUUGAAAAUAGAAAGAAAAUAUAUUGUAAUGAAUUUUCUAAUAUGUGCAAGUAAAUAAUGACAUACACUUUUGAUAAUGAAUAAUAUACAAAAAAAAAAGUGAAAGGAUAUAUAAAGUCCGUUUGAUAAUGAUUUUAAAAAGUAUUUUUAGAGUGUGAUUGGAAAAUAUUCUAAAAAGCGUUUUUAGUAUUUUUAACACUUAAAUAAUAAAAAGUUUUAAGUAUUAAAAAUAUUAAAAAUGAUUCUUAAAAUUACUACCAAACGAACUUUUAGUAUUUUUGAAAAAAAAAAUUAAAUGUUUGAUAAAUUUAAAAAACAUGAAAAACCACUUAUAGAAUUGAAAAAUCAUUUGUAAUGUUUUUUUUUUUUUUUAGAGAAAAACUUGAUUCUCCUAAAAAGACUUCUAUGAAAACCACCAACGCACUCAUAGUACAACGAGGCUACUUUCUAUGUUCCUUAUUGAUAUUGAAUAGAAUUUGGAGAAUGAGCAGUUUCUCAAUUCAAUCUAUUGGAUUCUAAAUAUAUUACAUUUGUCUAUGGUAGGACAUUACAAAGAUGGACUGGGAUUUAUGAUGUGUCAAUUGCCAAGCAUACCUUAAGUCACUUGAUUGAUGUCAACUUUAUGAUAAACAUGACAUUGGAAGCUCUAUACUUUCAGAUCCAAACCUUCCUCUUUUCAAUUCUUUAAUUGAAAAAUAAUGAUGAGGUUAUGGAGAUAAAUGUCCUUUUUUCAUACCAAGCGAAGUGAUCAUGUGGGUACACAUGCCCACUUGGUGUUUAAUUAUUGGGACUCUUCACCUGCCGGUCAAAAUGGUCCCUUUGGACCAUAUAUAUUAUUUGGAAAUAUUUUGAUAAAAUAGUCUCUUUGAUACCACCGAGGAAACUGAAAGAGUCAUUGUAUUUAUUUUAUUAUUGUUUUUUUAAAUAAGUUUGAAAUUAUCUUUUAAAGUUCUGAUUUCUGAAAAGGAAGAAAUCAUUAUGCCUUUAGUAAGAAUAUAAAAAUUAUUUUUUAUGUAUUUAUUUUAUAAUUUUAAAUUAACAAUAAAUUAACCACAUAUAUAAGAUAUGUGUGUUACAGUCAUAUAUAAGUUGUUUUGUUCCUUAAUUCGAAAAGAUGUCCAAGUCGUUAAUUUCAAUCGAGGGGACAACUUCACCAGAAAGUCGGGCCUCCUAGUUACGGCAGAUGUGUCGGUCCAUAUAUAAAGAAAUAAUAUUUUUUCUAUUUUAUAUAUAUAUAUAUAUAUAUUGGAAGCCAUCUGGUAAAGUGUCUUGCGUUGAAGAUGGUGUAAGAAGAGAGAGGGGACUCCAGUUUGCUGCAUUAAGCCGCAAAGUGAGGGACACAGAAAAGAAUGGGGUCCUUGUCGUUGGUGCUAAUUCUUCUGUCUCACGCCUGCGCUGUGAGUGCUUCAGAUUCGCGUCUCCACAAUGAUAACAUAUUUAUCCUGGCCGGACAGAGCAACAUGGCUGGACGCGGUGGCGUUAUUAACGGAACCUGGGAUGGAAUUGUCCCUUCCGAAUGCCAACCCAACCCAUCCAUCCUCCGACUCACUGCCGGACUCACAUGGGUGGAAGCUCGAGAACCCCUCCACGCUGACAUUGAUACAAACAAGACAUGUGGGAUUGGACCUGGGAUGGCCUUUGCCAAUGCCGUGUUGAGGGACCCUGCCUUUGGGAUUGUGGGCCUGGUUCCUUGCGCCGUCGGUGCGACCAACAUAAGCGAGUGGUCUCGCGGGACUUAUCUUUACACCCAGUUGGUGAGGAGAGCAAAGGCGUCCCUGCAGCAUGGUGGAAAGAUUCGAGCUCUUCUCUGGUAUCAAGGAGAGAGCGAUUCUAAGAGUCCAGAGUAUGCUAAGUCCUACAAGGGUAAAUUGGAGAAAUUCAUCCUGGACCUGCGCACUGAUCUGCGGUCUCCUAUGCUACCAGUGAUCCAGGCAUUGCCUCUUUUCCUUUUUAAAACGUUUUAUGAUUUACUUUGAUUUAACAUCGAUAGAGACCUUAGGUGAGGCGCUCAAUGCUGCCUAUUCUAAUGCGAAACUUUAGCAUAAAUUGAGGCCAAAUUUUAUUAUUUUAUCCUGUCUUUAAAAUAAGUUUGGGGAAGCAUCCAAAUGAGGGUGGGAGCCAAAGUCUGAAGGCCUUAGCAAGUGGGUUUUCCUCCAGAUCUCAAGCAUCCUCUAGUCAUAUUGAUCAGGAUACUUUUCUUGGAUACCCUAUCAGUUCUUCCUGGGUUAUCAUGCAAUAUACAAAAGGGGCAAAUUCAAUCAAAAAAUCAGUUGGAAACUCAUUAUAGGGAUAUCUUAGGACUCUGUGUAGGGAAGAUUCUGUUUUUGGGAAAGAACGUAUAAAAGGAAAUCCGAAUUUGUAAAAUCUAAUUUUAAUAUGUUUAAUGAAAAGGAUUACUUUGAUCACUUAGGUUUUACCUUUUUAAUGACACGGGUAUUAAUUUUGACUUAAAUGGGUACUAUUUUGGGGAGAAUUAUUUUUGAAAGAGUUUUCUUUUUUUCUUUUAUUUAUUUUUUUCCCAAUGUGAGUAUGGGCCGGUUCAUGUCUGCAACAAGGAGACUUAGUUGUUGGCCAAACGAGCAACAAACGGAUCCGUUCAGGCAAAGAAAAAGCAUUGGACCGUCUGCAUUUUUAUUUUCUCUCGCUUAUUUACUUAAUCACUCGCUUUAAAAUUCAACCGUGUUAUAACUUAUACGUAUGAUAGCUGGCUUCUCUGAAAUCACCUAAAGAAUGUUGAUUGUUUUAUGGGGCAGGUGGCUCUAGCAUCAGGAGGACCAUUUAUAAAGAUAGUGAGAGAAGCUCAGCUGGGAGUUGACCUUCCCAACGUGACAUGCGUGGACGCCAUGGGACUGCCCCUAGAACCUGAUGGAAUACACCUCACCACCCCGGCCCAGGUUCGACUUGGAAAGAGGUUGGCCAGUGCUUUCCUUCAGACCGUGCCCACGCCCAUUAGCAAUAAUACUUCCAAAAGGUUUUCCUCUUUCAUUUCUAAUUCUGUUAUGGAUCCAUUAUUUAGAUUUACCCUAAUGAUCCUAACCAUCCCAUUGUCUUACAUGAUGUAAGCCAUAUCAAUGCCUAACAUUCUUUGACAUCAAAUUCUUGUCCAAUUUGGAAAAACUGUGUUAUGUAUGGAAUUUUUUUUUUUCCAACAAAUUAACAUUGCUCCAUGUACUAAAUUUGAUUUAUUCAACGUAUUUGGCCCAAUUUUACACAAAUAUUCAAAAUUCUAAAACCAUCUAAACAAACCAUUACAUAAUCCUUUUGAGAUAUUUGUGGUCCUUGGAGUAUCAUAUUCUAUUACCAUUCUAAAUAUAUCCUUGCAUAAUCCUUAAUAUGCAUAAUAUGCCUUAGCCCUUUCGUGCCAAGUAGGUUACAUCUUGUAGGUAGAUUAGCUUCUUAAUCUGUGUCUUGAAAUACAACAUUUUCUAUGUUAGCAUGACUUCUACACGAGUACAAAGUAGUAAUUUCCUCAUCAGUAAGCCUCUUACCUCAUACCUCACAAUGAUAGCCCAUGCACCUCAUGUAGUUGUUGACAUAGUUGGCAUCCUUUCUACCAUGAGGAACAUAAGGGAAAGGACAUCCACCUUGGAUGUUCCAUACGUGGCAACACCUUUUUCAACUAUGCCCUUUUAGCACAUAGCUAUAUUUGGGCGAGGUGCUCUCUAAGGGUCUAUUAAAAUCAGCUUUAAAGAUAUUAGAUUUGUAGAGUUAUUUAUUUAAUUGCAAACAUUUUUGGAAACACGUCUAAUAGAGGGAUAAGAAAAAUUGAUCUUAUUGUGGCCUCAAUGGACAACUUUUAUAUGGUGUGAAGGUGGACUUCUUGACCUAAGUCAAAGGCAAUGUCCCUAAAUUUCCUAUAUUCCAUGGCUAUCCUAGAGAAGAGAGCACCUUGUGUAGUUUAUUAUUAGAGGUAAAAUGAAAACUAUUCUAAUCUUUACUAUACAACUAAAGAAUUGGUUAAAGAAUUGAAGAAGAUAGAUGAGAUUUAUUUACUUUUAUAAAGAAAAGAGAUGUGCUUUAGAGAGACCCAUGUAUAAGGAGAUUGUUAGAGUUGUUAUGAUGGACGAUAAUAUACUUGAGACCAUUUAUGAAUGAGAUCUUAUAAAAGUUUCUUGAGUUGAGGAAUUUCCCAAGCUUGGUAAACUAUUAGUGACAACCCAUUAAGGAAACUCAAUACGAGAGCAAUAAAAUACUAUUAAAUGAGAAAAAAAAAUGUGAAAAUGAAAAGAGAAGUAUCAAGAAACUCGCACUAUUAAACUACAAUAAGCUCUUUGAAGUAAACACUACUGUCUCAAACUUCAUUUUAUAAUCAAUAAAAAUCAAAUAUGAAACAACAUGGAACAACAUUAUGAGGUCUAAGAAAAGGAUAAGCAUGUUGUUGUCCAUUGAUGGAGCAUAUAGAGGUACCAUUUGCUAAAAACUUAUUCUUACCACUAGCUACUUCUAGACAUAGACAAGGUUGAGUCCCAGGCAAACAUGAUAGUAAUAGGACUUCUUGGUAAAGUUUGAUUACUUCUUUUUAUUAUAAGUCUAUUAGAGUUAAUUAGGUAAUUGACACCCCUGCGAGGUAUAAAUUGUUUCCUUAAGUAGUAGUGCGAUAUUCUAUAUUAGUUAAGAGAAUAAGGGUUUGUUUGGUUAUUGUUUUUUAAAACUAUUUUAAAAUAUACUUUUUAAAAACAAUUUUUGUAUUUUCGAAAAAAAAAAUGUAUUUUGGAAUUGAAUUCUAUAAAACAAUUUUUGUUUUAAAAAAAAAUGUUUGGUUGAGUUAAUAAAAAAAGUUUUUUAGAAUAAAUAAAACAAAAAACACGUUUGAAAGUUUUUUUUUUCUUCAAUUAACUUGAUAUUGUAAGUAUAUAAAUAAUUUUUAAAUUCACAUUUUAUUUAAAUUUUAAAAAUUAUUCUAAAAUUUAUUUACACUAAUUAUAAUUUUUGUUAAUUUUUAGCAGAUAAAUAUGAAGAUGGAGUAUUGAUAUAGAUAAAUAAUUUUUAUUAACUUUUAACAAGGUAAAUAUUAAUAUGGAGUAUGAUAUAGAUAAUAAUUUUUAUUAAAUUUUAGCUGAUAAAUAUGAACCUAGACAAAUAUAUCUACCAACAUAUAAGGAAGAAAAAUCACUCAAUUUUGAUUUGGUUCCUCUUCCAUACCCACAUCCCGUCACACUAUUUGCCCCAUCUUUUCUCUACAUUUUCCCCAUCCUCCCUCCAUCCAAAUAACCUUUUCUUUUUUCUUAUCCCAUUUAAUAAUAAUAAUAAUAAUAAAUUUCUUCUUCUUCUUCCUUUUUCUUUCCCAUUCCAAUCAAUAGUUACUGCUCACGCUCCCACCAUCCAGCAACUGACAUUGCUUCCAUCUUUGGAAACCUCACAACACCACUCCUUUCCACCUUGCUGUCAUGCGUUGUCGCUCACGGCAUCUCUAUCAUGGCCUUGCCCUUCAAAGCAUUGCACUGUAUUAGACACCUUUCACAUCCACAAUCAUGGCAAGACCACCAUGGUCUUGGUCAUUGCCCCUGGUAACCAAUAUGGUUGCCAUCUUCAUCCUCCAUGACCUUUAUUUUGUGUUGCUAGAGGAGAAACCAUAUGUAAGGAAACAUAAAAAACAAGUAAAGAAAACACGGAGAGUAGCUAUUCUAUGAACAGUAAAGAAAACAACCAAAACAUAUUUUCUUUAUUAUAUGAAAAAAGACCUUUUGAGAACACGGGAAGCACAAAAAAAAAACAAAAAUCACCUCAUCAUGUUUUCAGUAUUUUUUGUUUUCAAGAACAAAAAAUAGCAACCAAACAGGCCCUAAAUUUCUAGUAUAUAACAAUUUUCUUUAAUUGAAUAGACAUGUUUUAUAGUCUUGAAGAUCUUUUGGGUUCACAAGGAAUAAUAUCUAUGCAAAGAGAGCAUAUUGUUAUAAAAUGUAUCUAAGUAAAUCCCCACUCUUGAUAUCUAACCCUGAAAUAGAUAUUUGUCUGUUUGACUAGCACCACAAUCUUGUACCAUAGUCCUAUAAAAUUCAAUAAAGAUAUAUUUGUAUUAAGAGGGUGAUAUUCCAUAUCAAUUAAGUAAAAAAGUUUAUAACACUAUAUAUUUAGUAAGAUUUACUUAGUUGGAUAGACACAUUUUAAAACUAUAAUAAUACAUUAAGUUUAAAUAGAUGAUAUCUACACAUGAAGUAGCAAACCAUUACAAAUAAACCCUAGGGUGAGUUUAUUGAUCUCUUAAAUGACGGAUUGUAGCAUGCUCCUUUAUUUAAAAACCCUAUUGAAAUAAAAUAGUUUAAUGUAAAGGACAUCCAAGGUAGACAAGGAAAAUGUACAAAAAAGGCCACUAGGUUGAUUCACACUUACUAAUGGAUGAAAUUGAGGCAAGCUUGUCUUGUAUACCAAUAGGAUAAGUUGGAACAAAAAUUGCUUGAAGGGUUACUAGAAUCAUUAUUAUGCUUGAACAACCAUGGGAAAGUUUGAUUAUGGACUUCAUUAUCACCUAAGUCAAAACGGUAUAGAUUUAAUCAUAGUAAUCGGUGAUCGCCCAAGCAUGCUACAUUUAUAGUGGGUUCAAUUAUAGUGCAGAUACAAAAAAAAAACAUGGUUAUUCUUAAAGAACAUAAUAAAUAAUAGGGGAUGCCUAUGUUUAUCAUCAGUGAUCUAAAGCCUCACACUACCAGAUAUUUUGGAUACUUGAUUUUGCAAUUGACAUACAAUAUUUUAGUGGAUUGUCAUAAUCUUAUUUUAAACUCUAGUUAUAUGUCAUUAUGACAAGGUUUGAAGAUGUAUUUUCCUUGGACUAAAGAUUCUACCAGUUACCUGACAUGAAUACUCACUAUGGGUUACCUUUCUUUAUUGAACAUUUUUCAGGUGGGGAGCUUGAGUUUAAGGAUGUUGAGUCCUCAUUGUUUAGGAGGUUCGAUUUUUUAGUAUAGUGCAAUGAUUGACUUGGGUAUUGCUCAGUUUGAGCUUAGCUUCGUACAUAUAGUCCUUUAUUUUAGUUAAUUUUUAUGUUUCUCAUUGGCUUAGUACCUCUAGUUUAAUGGAACUUUCUCCAAUUAAGUACACACUCAAAUUAUGUUUCGUAUUUGUUUCUAUAGUGUUUUUUUUUCCAUUAGUUUUUAUUUCUUCAAUUAUUUAUUCACUUACAACUUUGGAAGAACUUUCUUGAACUAGUGAAAUUAAAAGAAUCACAAAUAACUAUAGCCACAAUUUCGAUUACACUAUUAAGACUGACAUAAAUAAGUUUUUUAUAACUAACAAUUAUUAUGGAGUUUUUGUUUAAAUUUUAGUAAAUCAUAUUAUCAUUAAGGUUGUAACCUGAACGGGUUGGUUCGACCCAACUCAAACCUAGCUUGAUGUUUAGACAGAUUUGGACAAAUAUUUUCAAUACUCCGGUUGAGUUUGAGUUAAAUUUUCAAACAACCCAAGCCUAUCACAAACCUUAUUUAAUGUUUUUAUAAUAUUUACAAUGUUUAUUAUCAUAAUUAAUAAUAUUUAUUUUCUUUUUAGAUUUUAAAGAAAAAAUUCAAUUAUAAUUAUAUUAUUUUUUCAUGUUUUUUAUUUUUAUUUUAUUAUUAUUAUUUGAAAUUUUAUCUUAUUUACUAUUUGAAUUUUGGUAUAAAUAUGUAUAAAUAAAUUUUUUUUUCUAAACUACUAUAUAUAGAUUUUGAAUCAUAUAACCCGAUUAACUUGAGUUUAACCUAAUUAAUCCAAAUUUAACCUAACCAACUCGAGUUUAACUCAUUUGUUGGUGCGACUUACUCCCCAUGAGGCAACUUUAUGAUUUUUCAAGUUAAAAGAGCUUCGGACCAAUUCGAAACAAAAAUAAAUAGAUACGUAAUUCCAAUGAAAGGAACCCAAGAACCAUAUUUUUCUCCAAUUUGAAUUUUGCUAAUGUUUUGAAUGAAUUCAAGAACAUAUUCAAAGAAAUUCUUACUGUCAAUAGAAUGAUUUGUGGAUUUGGAAUAGAUAAAAUAACUGAACCUAAUAAGACAACGAUUACAACCCAUGAAGUAAUAAGUACUUGGGCAUGAACUUGAAAACUUGAAAUUUUACCUGAAUUUAGAAAAAUGAGGUUAAAUUGAGUACCUUGAGUUAAAAGUCUAGUUGGAUUAAAUUAAGGUUGAUUGUUUCUUAAUUAAGAACCGGCUUUGGGCUUAAUUAUCAUAAUCUUACUUGUAUGCUUUUAUUAUUAUUGGAAACCCUUCUUAAAUCGUUUUAUUUGUAUUUUCAUUUAUCCCUAGUCCCAACCUUCAUUCAAAUUUAGGUUGACAAGUAUUUUCGAUCUCAAACCAUGGGAAUCCCUUUGAUUCAUUGCGUCACUAUUUGAUUAUCACAAUAUAUAUAUAUAUAUAUAUAUAUUAUUAGUUUGUGUGAAUUUUGGUGUUGUUUUUACUUAAAACAAUUCACUUUCAAAGAAGAAAACCUGUAAUAUUUUCCUAGAUUCCACUCUUAAGUAUAAAGUUUGCCUUUUAAAAAGACUAUUUGAUUUUUGACUUAAAAAUAGUUUGAGACUAAGCACUCUUUUUUAUUUUAUUAUUGAUCAAAAGAUUUUUAAACACUUAAUACUACGUUAGGUUGAUAAGAUAGAAUAAGAUAAGAUAUGUAUAUCGUAAAAUAUCAUAUCUCAUUUGAUAGGAAAUAUAUAUAAUAUGAUAUGAUAUUCUAAUAUAGCAUGUCAAAUGAGUUAUAUUAUGUUUAUAUUUAAUUUAUGAAAUAAAUAAAAAUAAUAAUAUGAAAUAUAUAUUAUUUUUAAUGUUUAAAAUUAAAAUUAUAUUAUAUUCCAAUAUUUUCUAUUUAAAAAAUUGAAAUUUAUCUUAUAUUUAACAAUAUUCAUUAUUAAAAUAUUUAAACUUUAUAAAUAUUUUUUUAUGUUAUGUUAUUCAAUAUAUAAAAAUAAUUUAUAUAUUAUAUAUUAAUAUAUGUUUAUAAUUUUUUUUAGUUUUAUUUUUUAACCAUAAAUUUAAUUUACAAUAAAAAAAUUAUUUUAUAAAAUGAGUAUAUAAAAAUAAAAUAAAAACUAAUUAAAAAAAAGUUUAUAAUAAUAUACAUAUCUCAUGACAUAAUAUGAAAUUAACAUAUCUCAUGUAAAACAAGUAAAAAUAAGAAGGUGGAUAAUAUAUCACACUACUUAUUCUAUCUUAUGUUUAGUUGAACAUAGGAUAAAAUAAGUGAUGGAAUAAUCUUAUCUCCAACCAAAUAUGAGAUAUGAUAUAAUAUCCGUUUUUUUAUCUUAUCUCAUAUUAUAUCUAAUCAACAAAACAUGACCUAUACUAUUAAAAAGAAAAAUUUUAAAUUUUUUUACCUCAAUUCUUUUUAUCAUUUUUCUUAUUUUUUUGAAAUUUGAAUAAAAGAUUCAAAAAGAAAUUUAUUAUAAACCCAAAAAAAAAAAAAAAAACCAUUGCAUCAGCUAGAAGGGAAACGUGGUCUCUUAUUUGUUGACACAAUUCCAUGAUUUGUGUCUAGGACUAUAGUCAUGUUUGAUUAGGAAUCUGCCUAUUCAACAUGACUAGCAUAACAUAAUCAUUUGAGCUAUUGAGAUAAGUUGGGUCAAAACUCAUUAGAAAACAUAAUUUAACUAUAAACCAAAGACUUACUUUUACAAGACUAAUCGUUUGAAUCAUAUGUGUGUGUGGGCAAGACGAGGAGUGGCCGGGAAAAAGGGUGCCUAGGUAUUGACAAUAAUGGUUGGAUUAGGAAAGGAGGCGGAGCGGGACAUUACUAUUGCCAUCCGAUUAACUUUGUACGACCAGCAGAGGAGUAUCCAGGUAAGUGGGGCCAGAUCCGAGUCAAAAGAAGGAUAAAGAAAAACGUACAAUAAUUAUGACCCAUGACCAUCAUCAAUGAUAUAAUUUUGUCACAAGGGAAAGAAAAUUACUUUUUCUAAAUCCUUCUCUCUAUUUUAAGAAAAGCUUUAAACAUUUUUCAUCUUUUCAUUAAUUUUUUGAGUUUGCCUUUAGUUAUUACUAAAAAAAAAAAAUCACUUUUACUAUGUAUUUUCCUUUCCUCUUCGAUAGGUUAAAUUUGUGUCUAUAAGAGGAUUUAUACUUGGACUGGGGAUCUUAGUAGAUAUUUGAAUGAUUUUGAACUCUUUUUAACCCUAGUUGGAAGCAGUAUAAAUAGAUUGGAUUAUUUUAGAUAUGGUUUAAUUGCGAAGAGUCCGGGGUGAUAUUCUGUGUUGGAGGAGAGUUCAUUAAAAUGGAGGCCCAAGUUCGUUGCAGUAGAAGCACUAAAACCAUGUCGACAACCUGGCUUUUAAGGUUAUUUUGUACGUUGUUGGCUGUAUCGUAUUCGUAUCCCGAGUUUGGUAGGGCAUUAGAAGCACCCAAGGACAUCUUUAUUCUGGCAGGUCAAAGCAACAUGGCCGGUAGAGGAGGUGUUCGCCAUGGCAAGUGGGAUGGGAACGUGCCACCAGAGUGCAGACCUAACCCAUCCAUCCUCCGACUCAAUCCUCAACUCCAAUGGGAAGAGGCACACGAGCCGCUUCACACAGGCAUCGGCCCUCCAAAGACUCAAGGGGUGGGACCCGGCUUGGCGUUUGCCAAUGAGAUCCGAGCCAAAGGUUCCAUGGUUGGGGUUGUGGGACUGGUGCCUUGUGCGGUUGGGGGAACUAAAAUAAGUGCAUGGGCGCGUGGGACGACGCUGUACAAUGAAUUGGUGAGACGAACGAAGGCCUCCGUGAGUGGAGGAGGACAGCUCCGAGCCAUUCUGUGGUAUCAAGGAGAGAGUGAUACAGUGAGAUCUGAAGAUGCAGAGGCGUACAAGGGCAACUUGGAAAAGCUUAUCAUAGACUUGCGCUCUGAUCUUAGUCACCCCACUCUCCUCUUCAUCCAGGUCUCUCCCU